CAAACAAAGGUUAAAGUCACCAAUCAAUUGAUCCAUGAUGGUUCUUAUUGUGGCCAUCAAACCAAGAAGGAUAACAUGUUCAUUUAUGUGCUCUUUUAACAGAUAUUACAUUAAGUAGAUGGCUUCUAUAAUUUGAUUUUAUUUCAGGCAAGCAAUUAUAUAACAAAAAACAAAUAUGAAUAAUGUAUGUGGCAGGUUUUGUUAGCUUGCAGCUCAAUAUACUGUAGUCAUCUAACUUGAUUAAAAGUUUUUAUCCUGAAAGAUAAAAAGGAUUCUAUAAUUUUAUCCUUUGAAGUACAAUUAUGCUGAUCAAAUUGAUAUCAUUGAAAAUUAAUAACCCAUGAUGAGGGCUAUAAAAGAUUAUGCCUCCAUCUCAUAUUACCAUCUUAUUUAUAUAUGAAACUCAUAUGAGUGAAUAAAGUUACUUAUGAUUUAUCGAUUCUCGAGUUUGAGAUAUGAUCACCGAAUGUAUGCUUAGUUUUUGGGUUUGGGAUAGUUACAAAUAUAAAUAUGGAUACUCGAGUUGAAUCCAUGAUAUUAUUAACAUCGAAUUUGAUCGAUAAUUUGAUAUGCUAUAAUUAAUUUAAAUUUAUUUAUUUUUUAAGUCUCAUUGUACUUAGAAUUAGAUUUAUAAUCAUGAUAUGAUAUAAAAACUCUAACUUGGCAUAUUAUAAAUUUUAGAUGAAUCAAAUAUUGGCACAUUAACUAGUUUAGUUGAUAAAGAACUUGAUAGAUUAUCAUAAGAUCUUAGACUCGAAUAUCAUCUUUAACAUCUCUUAUUUACAUACAAAUAAAAAAAGCUCAAACUUCACCUAAAUAAGUUAAAAAUAUUUUCUAAGAUUUAUAGUCACAUGGAACUCAACAGUCUAUCAUAUUCAUGAAAUAAAAUAUCUAUUAAUGAGGGAAAAAAAUAUAAACAUCUCGUUAGGUUUGAGAUGAGCUCGUAUAUUAAAGUUUGGGCCGGCUAUGGUGACAUUAAUGAGCCAUCCAUGCACAUGCGCAUGCACAUGCACAUGCUCAUGCUGAUGGCUGGUCCCCCAAAGCCAAGGUACUCACCGUCGCGUCAGCCCAUCUUCCAUCAAUCCAAUUCCAUCUGGUCCCUCCAAUCCCAAUCAGAAGGUCCAUAGAAAUUGCAAGCUGGUCCUCAUUUCUAUUUACCAAAUCAAUUAUCUCUCUCUUCGAAAUGCCUUCCGUCUCCUCUGCCUUAUCCUCCGGCUUGCGUCAUCGUCAUGCCAUAAUAAAAGAUCGUAGUGCAUCACACACACACACACACAUCUGAAUCCGUGUAUAGCACGCACACGCUACCCCAGAUGGAUCCCGUCGUUGGCCUCAGACACGAAACAGCAGCUCGACUGGUGGACCCCACCUGAUUCAACUUCGCGAUAAUCCAAUCGAAUUAAUGUCGCGUAUGACAGAGGAUUUGGGUUAAUUUAUGACGUGUAAUUUUUAGAAAACAGGUAGUAUUAUUACGGCAUCUUUUUUUCGGAUACCUCGGAAUAUCUCCGAUAUCUUACCCGUGAACGGUAGUAAAUAGCCAUCACGUUUGCUUUCUUUAACCAACAACGCGUUCGCUACCCGCCUGACUUGGCUUCUUGUGAUUGGAGGUGGGCCCCUAUUCCCGGACGUGAUUGCGUCCGGUUACAAAACAGGUAGACGAGACUUAGGGGUGUCGGGAAACGAUCUUUUGGUCGUGUUUAUCCGUGGCGGGAUUUUAUGUCUUCGAAUCACCGCAUCGGAGACAGCCACGUGGCGGAAGGUGCACGCAAGCUUGCGGGCGCGAAGCCUCGCCUUUCCGCAAGCUUAACGUGACAUCACCUAAAUGACUAGAAUGCCCCGUGGGAUUGGGGUAAGUACCGGGGUUUCCGGGGAGUAGGGUGGGGACACCUCCCUGUUGCGGCGACUGCCAUCAUGGCGAUUGCAUGAAAAUAGAGGGGGAGGACUAGGGCGGUUUGGUCAAUAAGUAAUAGCAACGCUGUCCUGUGAUAGGUAAUCUUGAGCGUCCGUUGUACACGUGAUCGUUCAGUGGACGGUCCUGAUGGUUCGUUCGAUGGAGGCGUCCAUGGGACGCCGAAAGAAUCGGUGGGACACCGUGGCAUAUCUUCCGUGUGAGACGAUAACGGCGCAGCAUCGCCGUCUCGUCUCCGUCUGUCUCUGUCUCUCAUUUUUUCUUAUCCCCACCAACUCCAAAUUCCGCCGAACCCCUCGCCACCGCGGUCCGGUCCUCCGCCCUCUCUCCCUACCGCCUCAAUCUCCGCCUCGCCCUGCUCUGUCUCGUUAACCCUACAUUAGCGAAGCCUUUCCUCGUGUUAUUUUUUUUCUCCUCUUCCUCGGGUUUCUCUUUGACGACUCCUUCCUCCGUCGCCGGCGGAGGCAGCGGCGGAUCGCCGCCGACACCGGCGCCUGCUUCCGGAAACCGCCGAGAGCUCGGCGUGCUCGGGAUCGGCGAGCCAAAUUCUUAACAAGGCGACACAGAGGAGAAGGAGAGGGGAGGGAGGGAGUGAGCCUGGGGUAAAAUAAUAUUCGAAUGCGGCGGUGGUGAGACGGAGCUCUCGUUUUGCUUGCAUUGGAGGGGAAAGGGUGGAGGUUGGGGAAAGUUAGGGGCAUCCAUGGGUGGGGGUUGGACGCUCGCGCACGGCACGGAUUCCGAGGGGAUCCCUUCGCGGAAUUCUCUUCCUUCUUCGAUGGCCACCUCCUCCUCCUCCUUCUUGCCUUAUGGCGUAAUCCAUUCCUUCGCGGGUUGCUUCUUUUAAAUUACGGCCCGCUCCAGCUCAUCUUGUGCCUUCUCCGCAGGCUGUCGGUGAACGGGAGGGGGAAAGGACGUCGAUCCGGUGAGGUUUCCUUGACUUAGCCAUGUAUUUUCGUACCUUCUUCUGGGUUUUGGUCGGAAUUCUGGUGUUAAUCUACGAUUUGGUUGUGAUCGCUGUGGAAACGUUGGAUGUUGAGGUCAGGGAUGGGAUCCAGGCUUGAUUUCGGUCUACUUGAAUUCUACCGGAUCUUUCUUAAUUACCGAUGAUCUCCUAUUCUUUUUCACGUUUCGGGCUUAGUUCUUACAGUUUGGUUUCUCAGUGAUCUCGUGACCGAAUAUAUUAUUUUGAAUUUUAUCACUACUAUUAUCGUCUUCUUUUUUGCUUUCAGAUCUUUUCAGCGCCAAAAAACUUAAAAAAACAAAGUUUGACCCUUCUUUCUUCGAUUCUCGAGUACAACUUUUAUUUCUUAAAAAUGUCUGUAGAAAUAGCAGAAGAAUUUGAGUCAUGAUAAUUUCCCCUUUUUGUUUUCCUCUCUUCUUUACAUUUGGUUUCUCUUUAAAGCCUUCAUUACCCAAUGGUCGCUUGAUCUUGUUUUGUCUUUGCGCAGCGGAGGAGAGUUUCCUUUGACUGAGGGUAGCUAGCGUCAUUGGAAGUUAGUUGCUGGAGUAAAGUUUAGUCUUUGUUCGGGUGCUGCAAGAUGCCGACCAGAAUAAUGGAUCAGAGUCGCCUGUCCCCAUUCGUCCGGAAUUCGGAGGCCUCUUCCUUCUUCUCCGAGGAGCUACGCUUUCCUACGGAGGUAAGAUUUUUAGCUUUCCAGGGUGUCGAUGGACCUCGCUCUUUGAGAAAAGAAGUUCGUUUUUUAUCAGUCACUGUACUCUCUUAUUCUCUAUUUUGUUAAAUUCUUGGUUCUUGUUGUCAAUAAGCUCUUUUUGGAAGUGAUGCUGAUGGCACCUCCUACCUUUUGCUCUCAGUAUUUUUCAUCUGAAAGAACAUUAUUCUCAGGCGAAACCAAAAUAAUAUCUAAUGCAUGUCUUUUUGCUAAUCUUUUCUUGAUUACAGAGGCAAGUUGGAUUUUGGAAACCUGAGUCAGUGCCUGAUCACGAUGGUGAGCAUAACAUUUUGGUGGAGCCUGGGAUUUUUUUGUUUGAUAUUACUACCAUUCUUUGCUUUUGUCAAACUUGGAGUUUUUAUGUGACCCUAUGCAACGAACCUCCAAACAUUCUUAAUUUGUUGGGCUCAAUGUACAUUUUGGAAAGUUGUUAUUACAUUUCUACAAAGAUAAUUCUUAAAGUGAGCAGGGACUUAUUUAUGUUGAUGGAGAAUGUAUCCACCUGUAAGAAGCUAAAUCCUGCAUAGUUCAUUGAUCGCCAAUGGUUUUAGUCCGCUUUUGCUCCUUUUCUUCAGUUAAACAAAAGUUCAACUGUGAGCUGCUAAUGGGAAUUUGAACUGUUGGGUCCGUUUAGACUGGGUAUUCUACUCAUCUGGGUUGGUUAGAAUUAGAUGAUAAACCAUAAUUGUAACUUAGUAAGCUUUCAUAAUAGAAAAACUUUAUUGAAAGGCAUUUGCAUGAAAUCAGCAGGCUGAGUUGGUAAUUCAUAAGUUCAAGAACAUUGUCUGUGUGUUGCUAGGUUGUUCCUGAAUUCUGUUCAAUCUUAAUGGAGGAAUAUAUUUGCUCCCCUUUGUCAUCUUGGGCAGUCAAGGGCUUUAGUGUGUUGGUGUUUAUCCUCUGCAGGAGUGCAGGAAUUGACGUUGGUGUCAAGAAAUCAGUCAGUUUCUUCUUCUCCACUUAAUAAGUUUCAUAUGCCGGGAGCAGACUCUGCGGAAGGUCCGGGACAGUGGGAGUCCCACAUGGUCAAGGAGCAGAAAGAUAAGUUUAAUCUUGAACAUCAGCUGGAGCCAGAGACGAUAACUGGCAUGUCAACAACUUUGUGGAAGGCCGAUGACCAUGAUUCUACUUUCCGAUCUGAUCUGUUAAGUCAAUCUGCUUCUUCAAUUAUGGAAUCAAAAGAUCAAAGUGGAUGCCUUUAUGAGAAUGGUCUUUUCUCAAGCUCUUUAUCAGAUAUAUUUGCAAAAAAAUGUAUGUUUUCUUCUUUCACUCUUAUGUUUCAUAAACUAUUCUUUUCUAAGAGGACUAAUUUCUCAUAGAUUCUUGACAUUGCACUUCACAUAUGACUGUUUGCUCUUACAGACUUUUUGCUUGCUUAUCGUACUCAAAAAGUUAACUUUCUUAUCAUUUUGAUGGGGCAGUGAGAUUGUCAUCAAGUAACGUUGCUUUCUGUACGUCUGUCGAUGAAAAUCACUUUAACUUAGGGGAAGAUGAGCCUUUUGAAUCAAUGGAGGAAAUUGAAGCUCAGACAAUUGGAAAUCUUCUCCCUGAUGAUGAUGACUUGCUAUCUGGUGUUAUUGAUGAUCUUGGAUUUGUUGCUCGACCAAAUAGUGGAGAUGAAAUUGAUGAUGACAUAUUCUACAGUGGGGGAGGUAUGGAACUGGAGCCUGAUGAUGAUACUAAUGUGAGCAAAGGUCUAGAAUUUGUUGGUGGAGGAGCAUCUAAUGGUCAGCAAGUGGGACCGAAUGGCACAAUUGCCGGUGAACACCCUUUUGGUGAACAUCCUUCAAGAACGCUUUUUGUUAGAAACAUUAAUAGCAAUGUUGAGGAUGCUGAGUUAAGGGUCCUUUUUGAGGUACUUAAACCUUAUGAUUUUUAUUUUGAUGUUGACAAUUGUUUUAUUUUUGUUGGGCAAAACCUUUAAGCAGCUCUAAGUAUUUGAUGAAUAUGUGCAGUCAUGAAUCUAGCAAGUCCUGAUUGUAUUCUUCUGGAAAUGUGCAGCAAUAUGGUGACAUAAGGACAAUUUAUACUGCCUGCAAACAUCGAGGUUUUGUUAUGAUAUCUUACUAUGACAUAAGAGCGGCACGAAAUGCAAUGAAAGCACUUCAAAACAAGCCAUUGAGGCGUCGGAAGCUGGAUAUCCACUUUUCAAUUCCAAAGGUAAUCAUGCACUAUUUAGUUUGUUAUUGUUGUAGUGGUAGCAGUAUUGAUUGAGAGUAAUAUAAAUAAAGCAAUUGGUUUGUUGCUUGUUUAAGCAAAUUGUCUCUUGAGUAAUAUAAAUUGGAUACCUCUUAGGCGGAUUCAAUUUAACUAUCGGAAGAAACUUUUUCUGAAUACUUGGAAGUAAUGGGGAUGUGUCACAAGGCACGCAAGUAGGUGUUGUCAAUUUCAACGUGUUUUAGAAGCAAUAUAGAAAUUAGUAAAGAAUGUUACAGAAUGAUAGUUGCUCCACCACAAUCUUCUUCAAGCCCAGUUGAUUAUAAGUUCUGACAUAUCCGGAAAGAAUUAGGAGAACCCUGAAUAUACUAUGGCCAACAAUAUUGGUAGCAGAUGAUGACAAUGACAGUUUUGAUAUCUGCUGCUUUCAAAUUGGUAAAAUUUGAGCUUAACUUUAUGCAUUUAUUUGUUAAUUUAAUAAUCGACUUUGAUGGAUGCCUCCCAUGUGACUGCUCAUGAAGAAUAUAUGCAUACCUGUUCUUAAUAUGAGCAUUUUCUUUUCUGGCUUACAUGGACAAAUGCACAAUGCAUUUAUUUGGAUACUUACAUGUUCAUCUGCUAUUCUUCGAAAGUUGUUCAGAAGCAGUGACUUGUCUAUCCUAUCUUACUGAAGCUUUGUUCCAUAUUUGUUAGAAUAAUUAUUCAUUCAUAUCAACUGUCUACAACAUGUCUAUGGACUUGAUAUUCUUGUUUAUUUGUUCACAAUUCUGUUUAUUAGGACAAUCCAUCAGAGAAAGACAUAAACCAGGGGACACUUGUGGUAUUCAACCUUGAUUUGUCUGUUUCAAAUGAUGAUCUUCGUCAGAUUUUUGGCCCUUAUGGUGAAAUCAAAGAGGUGACAGUUUUAUGCUUCUUUCAUGUAUUUUUAAUGUUAUACUGAAAUAUAUUGAUGCUAAACAUGAGUUUUAACUCCCAGAUACGUGAGACUCCUCAUAGGCGCCAUCAUAAAUUUAUUGAGUUCUAUGAUGUUAGAGCUGCCGAAGCUGCUCUUCGUGCUUUAAACAGGAGCGAUAUUGCAGGCAAGAAAAUUAAGCUUGAGCCUAGCCGUCCUGGAGGUGCAAGACGGUGGGUACUAUCCAAGCAAACUCAUUUUUCUAAUCUUUUCAUAUACAAUCCUCUAGCAGCUUAAAGCAAUAGUCUCAUCAAGUUCUGUGACAAAUAUAUUUAUAAUGUGGUAUAUAUAUUUUCUUCUUGAGCUUAAAGCUAUAUCUGUUUAGUUUGUGUGAGUUUUGUGUGCAGAAUAAACAAAAUUGGUUUGUAAGAGAGCCUAACAUCCAGAAAAAAAAAAAUAUAUAUAUAUAUUUGUCACAUUGGGUCCAUAUAACUGCUAGCUGAAUCAGAUUUACUGUAGAUAUGUUAUCAUUAGAAGAUACUGAUAAGAAUUUUGAUUGUAUACUGUCAUUUAUUUGCUACACCAAAUGCAAAUAAUAAAAAAAUGAAGGCCUUGGUCUUUAUAUUUCAGUUGGUACUAUACCCUUUUUAACGAAUGAAGUAAUAUUCAUGGUUUCAUGUUUGGAUUUGAGCUAAGGUUUUGACACCAUGCCAUCAACUUCUUUAACUUUGAUAUUCUUUGUGUGAUUGAAAAAAAAGGAUAAAUCUGCAUGGUUUUGGUACUACGUUGCAGCUUAACGGAAUUAAUCUGCCAAGCUGUUAGAUGAGUUAUCUACUUAUAUGAUCAUGGAUGAGAAGCCUGAGAUGGAAAAAGAUGCAAAUGUCCAGAGUCAUCAUCUGCUUCAGGAUUUCCAUGCAGACUGUUAUCAUCAGUGGUAACUCUGCUUCAUGGGCUUUUCUUUGGUUUAGCUUGUGUGGUUAUGGCAGCUCUGCAAGCCAUAUAUCAGAGCUUAGCAUAUAAUAUAUUUGGUUAUUAAAGAAAAUAAUUGUCUCAUUGCAAUGAAAUCACAACUUCAGUAAUCCGUAACAAAUCAUCCCUGAUUUUGAAUUCUUAGAACUCAAAUUUCUUUUUGAACUUGCGUUCCACACAAGUCUGUUCACCUGGAAGUCAAGUUCCUGGAACUUAAGAUCCCCAGUUAGUUCCUGUGGAAUAAGUUGUGGUGGACCUUGGCAUGAUUUAAUUUGAUAAGUUCAGUGUUUGAAUUUGAUCUUGUUGAAGUUGAGUUGAUCAUAUUGAUCAGAAUAGGUGUAUCCAAUAUACUCAGUCAAGACGGAUCAUGCAAGAAUUUAGUUUUAGUUGGUCUUCAUUGUACUAGAUGAAUUUAACUGAAAGUAAAUUGGGUUGGUCCAACAAACCGCAUCAGUACAUUAAGUUUUUUGGCAAAAACUAAGAACACAUCCCUAAUGCUUGUUUAUAUGCAUAAAUAUGUUGAAGUCAUAUGUGUUUUCCUUUUAUGCUUCUGUAUUGGUUGUCUUUCAUCUUUUAUUAGUUCUUUUUAUGUUUACCUAGGUAAAUUUUGUUUUCCUUUAUGGAUUAUCCAUGGGUGACAUAUUUUUUGAACCAGCAGCUUGAUGCAGCAGUUUUCUCCUGAGUUGGAGCUGGAAGAAUCAAAUGGAUGGAAGCACAGCCCCAGUCACUCUCCAUCUGGAUGUUUUGGUACUCUUCUUUGUGCCUUUUCUUAUUUCAGAUAACCAUGAUAUUUUCUUUGCAUUUCUCGGGUCAUCUUAUGCCUAUGGCUUGCAUUGCCUGAACAAGUGUCUUCUUUUUUCCCCUUUUUUUUAAGGAUCUGCCUCUCUUGGAGCAAUUACACCCAAUGGCCUUGAAAAUGGAGGAAUCCAGAGCAUACAUGCAGCUGUCUGUACAACAAAUAACCCAUUUAUGGAGACCCCACACCAUGGAAUCUCUUCCAGUGUGCCUCAGAAUUUAUCAUCUGCUGUGAGAGUUGCAUCGGUAGGAAGUCACAGUAAUCAAGCUGCCCAUGCUGAUCUUAGCCAUUCUCUAAACCAGAUGAAUUUUGGAUUCCAAGGCAUGCCUAGUUUCCAUCCUCAAUCACUUCCAGAUUUUCAAAAUGGAGUCACGAGUGGCCUUCCUUACAAAUCAUCAAACCCAGUAUCAGCUAUGGGUACCAAAAUCAACUCCAGACCUGCUGAAGGAACAGAUAACAGGCAUCUUCACAAAGUAGGCUCUGGUAGCUUUAACAGCCAUUAUUUUGACAACAGCGAAGGUUGUAAGUGCGAUAGAACAAUUUUUUUUUUUCUUAAUGCAGUUAUUCUUUCUCAAUUGCAAAUGUGAAUUUUGUAUAGGAGUGCUGUUGGCUUUAGUUAGCAGUGAUUUAGGUGUAAAAUGACAUUUAAUCUGGUAGUGUUCUGAUAGUAGCAAGCUAUUAAAUUGUUGAAUUUUAUGUUUGUGAUUUCUUUCCUAAACUUAGGUUUUUCAUGAUCUAUUUCCUUUUACCUUUUCCUUGGUCUUUCUAACACAUGACCUGCUUACAGCUAUUGGUGUUCCUGGAAAUGGAAGCUGCCCUCUUCAUGGACAUUCAUAUAUAUGGAAUAAUUCAAAUUCAUUCCACCAGGAGCCUCCUAGCCACAUGUUGUGGUCAAGUUUGUCGUCAUUCAUGAACAAUAUUCCUGCUCAUGCUCCAUCUCAGAUGAAUGGACUUUCAAGAGCACCAUCUCAUAUGCUGAAUACAGUUCUACCUCUACACCAUGUUGGUUCAGCACCUCAAGUCAAUCCAUCACUUUGGGACAGGCGACAUGGCUAUGCUGGUGAUUUUACAGAUCCACAUGCUUUUCAUCCAGGAUCUGUUGGAAGCAUGAGCUUUUCCGACAGCCCUCAGUUGCACCCACUAGAACUUGCUUCUCGUGGCAUCUUCCCUCGUGCUAGUGGAAACUGUAUAGGCCCUUCUGUUUCUCCUGCACAUGUUGGGAUUCCUUCACCUCAGCAAAGGUGCCAGAUAUUCAAUGGUAGGAACCCUAUUAUUACCAUGCCUGGUGCACUCGAUGGUCCUAAUGAUCGGAUGAAGAGCCGAAGAAAUGAUGCAAAUUCUGGUCAGGCUGAUAACAAAAAGCUGUAUGAACUUGAUAUUGAACGCAUUAUACGUGGGGAAGACUCUCGUACAACACUUAUGAUUAAAAACAUCCCUAACAAGUAAGUUUGUUAGACCUAAAGACUUAUAAUUCCUACCAAAGCAGUCCUUAUUACCAAUAUGAAUACAAAGUGAACAAAUUUAACCUGGUUUACAGGUACACGUCAAAGAUGCUGCUGGCUGCAAUUGAUGAAAAUCAUCGAGGAACUUAUGAUUUCAUCUAUUUGCCCAUUGAUUUUAAGGUAAUCGCACGACCCCUUGUAAAUUGUCACUCUUGUGGAUUUUCACUCCUCUUAUUGGUUCACUUAAUUGGAUGUGUUCUUCUUCUCUUUUCUCAGAACAAGUGUAAUGUCGGCUACGCAUUUAUAAACAUGACCAAACCUCAGCAUAUCAUUCCAUUCUAUCAGGUUGGUCGAUCACCUCAGAUAAAUUUUAAUGUAGAGAACUAUCUGUUGAAUCUCAUGUUUCUGGUGCUUCCUAUUGGAUACCAGUGCAUUCUUGACAUAUAUUUUUUAUUUUUUCUGAUAUUUAUUGUUUACUGAUGUCAGUGUUAGUUUAGAUUUAUUGUAACACUAUCAAUUCAGUUUCUUUUUAUUCCAUGAUAAAGAUGCUAAAGAUAGGAAGUGUGAUUCUCUGCAGUCAUUUAAUGGCAAGAAAUGGGAGAAAUUUAACAGUGAAAAAGUUGCUUCGCUUGCAUAUGCUAGAAUCCAGGGGAAAGCUGCUCUUAUCGCACAUUUCCAGAAUUCUAGUCUGAUGAAUGAAGAUAAACGCUGCCGUCCUAUCCUUUUCCAUUCAGAUGGACCGAAUGCAGGGGAUCAGGUACGACGAGAUCAAGUCUUUUAUUUUCCUUUUCAUUAAGUUCAGUUUUUCAUGGUGAUUUAUCAUGUAUGUUUCCAAGAAAGCUUCAAGUUUGGUAUAGUUGCCUUGAGCUUCAAAGUAUCCUGAAAUUUUUUUCGUUAUUCAUAUUUCUGCAAAAUUUUGUUUCUCACCUAGCUCAAGUGCUAUCAUGAUUGAUGUUCUUCCGACUUUAGUUGAUAAUGCAUGUGGAUCAUCAGUAUUCAGUACCACCUCUUGACCAUGUUGCUUAUAGCAAGUGAUCUUCAGUUUAUAUGGUCAUCUAAGAAUUGCAUGUUAUACUUGUUUGAAUUAACCAUUGAUUGCAAAGUGCUCAACUUGGUUCACAAGCCAUGAAAAGACCAAGUGGGUUCUCUGUGGCUACCUAGUAAAUCAUACUAUAAACAUGUACCAAGCAGCCUAGCCACAGUAACAAGUAAAUUCUUGUUCCAUGUUUUGUAUAUCAGGGUUUCAUCCAAAUGUAAUGAUUCAAGAUUCUUUACUUGAUAUAGUCAUGACAUUUAUGGAUUGUUUCUUCACUAUUGCAUCAUUGGAUCUCUACACUGAUCAUUCUGGUUUCUGCAUUAUUGUGAACUAGAAUCUUUUGCUGGGUCAUUUUCUUGGGACAGGAUUUUUGUUUGAGUACUUAACAUAUUUACUGGAUCUUCUUUGACAGGAGCCCUUUCCUAUGGGGGUUAACAUCAGGUCCAGGUCUGGCAGAUCAAGGAUUGUGAGUGGCAGCGAAGAGAACCACCAAGGAAGUCCAUCCACUUCUGCAAAUGUAGAAGCUUCUCGCGAUGCAGCUGGCUCUCCUCCAGGUUCUAUAAAGGACUUGGAGUGACCCAUACUACUUAUCCUGGUGCACUAACUAUGAGGAGCAGACACAUAACACAACCUCAUCUUCUGCUCCCCUUCCUUACUUUUCUUCAUACUGCUGAUAAAUAGAGAGUCUGCAACCAUUACUUUGAUUUCCAGCCCCUAGUUUUGCGUCUGUGUCACUGAGUGAGGGUGCUUCUUAGUUUUCCUGGAUCAUGUAAGCAGUAACUGAAGUCGCAAAGGUCAACUGCGCAGGGAGAACUUUAAGAUUUUGGAUGGCCGCGAGAGGAGCAAACAAUGUACAGAAGCUCCAGAGUGACAGGAUAACAUGACUUUGUGCGAUGCGGUUCGAGAAGGUCUUCUCUGCGUUUCAUCUCCUGGCCUUUUUUCUUCCUCUGGUUUUCUUGUGCUUGUCCGCGUUUGGAGACACCCUCUUUUGGUUUGGGUUCUGUUCUGUUAUUUUUGAAGCUGGGCUGGUCGAAUGAUUCACGGGAGCUCUGCCUGUCAUGAUAUCGAGUCUGUAUGCCUGCUAUAAACAACCGUGUGGCAUGAAUUUUGAAGUGAUCUGAUCUUUGUUGUCUAUUACAAUUGCUUCUGAGACUCCGUUUUCUUCUGAGUGUUUGUUUAUAAUGCUUGUGGUUGAUGAACUGGACGUAAUGAUUUCUUCGCAUUGAUUUGAGAUGACCAUAUAACCUUCUGUCAAGAUCUCCAGGGUUACUGUGAAAGAGAUCGUAGUAUAAAAUUAUAAAUUAGGUCCAAACAUUGAAUACAUGACUUGCAGAAACAUCUUUAUGAGUACUGUAAUUGAGAGCAUAUUCUUUAAUAUAACACAAGAUGUCACAAUAUUCUUCAAUAUUUUCAUUUCAGAUGUCCCGUGCCCCUAAUUAGGAAACACUGACUAUAUCAACGGAACAAGAAAAUAUCGCCGAUUUGGUCUCUGCAGCCGAAUGCUUUGCAGCUCCAAAUGGCGGCCAAUAAAAAUUUUCAGAAGCUGUUAUCACAAAAAGCUUCAAUAGAAAGAUCAUGCUCAAGAUCGUUAAAUACGAUGGUGAAUCAUCAGACUCAGCAUACUUAAUUCCCCUGGCAUGACCAAAUGGGCUAGAAAUCCCGAGACAUCUAUAAGCGAUUAACAGGUUGGUCAUCGCCUCCAUUUUUAUUUGAUGUAGCUAGCAACAUGGGGUUGCAUUUGGGGAAUAAUAGCUUUAGGCGAAAAGCAUCGACGCCAUUCAAAUAGUAUCUGAACAGCCUUUUCGCCCUAAUAAACCCUAGGCGGCCAUAUAAUGCAAGGGCUCCCUUGUUUGUCACUUCAGCUUCCAGUGUUACCUGCACAUGAUCGCACAUUAUUCACAUGUCAGCCUGAUGAUCCUCCCCGGUGCAGAAAACACAGCUUAGUAUAAAGAUUAAUUCAUCCACUUCCGCCAGAAGUAGAAAUACAUCAGAAUAUUGAUUUUUACACAACAAGAAUUGAAAAGAUUAAAAGUCAUAAACUAGAGCAGAAAGUACAUUAAAGCAAGUUUUGGGCCAUAAUAACAAUAACAGCAUACCUUAUUCGAUCUAUUACUUUACAGAGAAUAGCUUCUAGAAGCAAAAAUCUGAAAAUUGUGCUGCAGCUGAUGUGCAGCAUUCAUCUAUUUAAACAAUUUUACAUGAAUAAUAACAGUAUUUUCAACAAGCUUACUUGAAGAUGCAAAUAAAAGAGUCCCGAAUUUGGGUGACAAUUAGACAAGGGCAGAACCAAUGCUUCCUAGUAAAGUGAGCCACGCAAAAAUGAAUUCUAGCUUUAGUGCUGGAUCGCACAACCUCUUACAGUAUAAAAUGUGGUUGAUCAAUGCAGGCUUACUUACAAUCUUCUAAGCAUUCAACAGUCUUGUCACCAAAGAAAUUACUCCAACACAAAGAGUCAUUAAAACAUCAGGUGUAUUACUUAAAACCCAAGAAAAAGAUCUUGAGAACAAAAGAGUAAUGCACAUAAAUAUUUUGCAGCAUGAAAUCAAGUGGCGCAGAACUAUCACACAUAAUAUAUGGUAGUCAAAACACAUUCCAAUUUUUUUAUAGAAUUUCAUAACAUACUGUUUCUAUCAUGGUUAAAGCAAUUUACCUCUUGACAUCCGGAUUCCAUCAUCACCCGGAUAGAUCUAGUAACAAGUUCUGUUGCUGCGGUGUCAAAAUUUGUAUAAUAAGUUGCGGCAUAACAUAUUCACCAAAAGAUGGUAACGUAGACAACAAAAACAAACAGAAAAUAUCGUUAAGUAAGCAAGACUAGUGUCAGUUUCAAAGAAUGAAGGAUAACAUCAUCUGGUCAUUCAACUUUACAAGAUCCAAAGGAGAAAAUCAUCUGAUUCCUCAAAGGUCAAAUCAUAUGCAUGCUUUAUAGAACUUAAGAUGAAAUAGGAAACUGUAUAUUCAAGACACAUUGGCUCCUAGGGUGACUAGCAUGCUCCUACAAUGCUUUUGGUAUAACCCUAUCACCAUCUUCUUCCACAAGCACCUCUAAACAUGCCAAGGCAACAUUAGCUAGUAUGAUCCAUAUGGGCACCAGCCACAGCCAACAACAUUAUCUGAUGCUAACUAACAGGCUGCCGCACCGAUAAGCUUAGUGUAGUUACCAACAGGAACAGCAGGAAAUAUGCAUGUCAAGCACCACAACAAAAUGUCAGCACAGCAAACAGGCAGGCUAAUGAUGAAUUUCUCUGAGGUUUAGCAGUGGUGACCCUGACAAAUUGGCUUUUCAUAGCCGAUCAGUUCUUCAAUCGCAUGACGAUACCAAGGAACCAAAACUGCACUACCAGAUUUCUAACUAAAUGACCAAGCAUGCCAGUGAUGCACUCGGGGAAUGCACUUAAUCAUAAUUUUCGAUGGUGGAGAUUAUGUGGUUCGAUCCUUCAAGUAUGAUGAGGUACAUGGCAACGCUUUAGGAGUAGUCCGAAUUGCAGCGGGAUGGGUCAAAAUGUCAAUGAUAUUAGAUAUGAGUUCCUUGUUUGAUCUAGGGGAAAGUGGCAGGCUCAUAUCUAGGCAUCCUAGCUUUAGGAGAAGCCAAACAGGCUGAAAACUCUUGGGUGUUCGGCCAGGGCAAAUAUUGGGUUGACAGUAACAUUAUUUCAGGACCAUUUGGUCUUAUCAGACUACAGUGAUGAUAUUUAGGCAAUAGAAGUCUAUAUAAAAGGGGUUCUAAGACUACUAAAUAACAUCUUUAGAACUUGUCCUAUAUUUUCCAACAAAUUAUUUCAGCAAUAAAUCCAUAACUUAAGUUAGAUUAAUCUCGAGAUGGCUUCUUCUCUUCCUCAAACCAGAGAAGCGCAGUUUAGGAUGUCUUAGGCUCUUAAUUUCAUUAAUGAUGCCUUCAAGCAAUCUGAUGCCAUAUCAUAACAUGAGAGUGCGUCCCCUUUCCAUCACCAACCAAGAAACAUAUCAAAGUUUCUUAAAAUCAAUGUCUACGAUUGGUUUUCGCUAUACAGUAGCAGACACCAAACGAACAACCUAAAUAUAUUCACCAGAGUUUGCACCUUUUUCAUCUAAAUCAGGCCAUGAUCAAUAGCAAAACGUUACUAAACAUCUGAAAAGUGUCAGUUUAUGGUUGUUUUACCGAUGCCCCUGCCCCUGUAGGGCUCGAUGACGACCAGCAUCCCGAUGUAUCCCCGUGAGAUGUUCCGAUGAUGCCCCAUCUUGCACACCACCGUCCCGACGCACUUCUCCCCGUGGAACGCCUGCAUUUCGCCGUAAAACCAAAAAUAAAAAUCAUCCCUAAUUCGUCGCAAAAAACGGCGGAGAAACCCUAACGACAAGCAAAAGAAAGACAGAUUUUCGCAAGUACGAGGAAGGUGAGGUUGGGCCAGAGGUAGACGAAGUAGCGGUAGGUGAAGAUGGAGUAGGGCUCGCUGAGCUCGCGGUCGACGAGUCCCAUGAUGAGCGGCAGGUGGUGCUCACCACCAUAUCUCACGUACUCGAUCUCCGACGGCGAUAACUCCGUCAUCGCCUCGUCUCCAAAUAUUCCUCUAAUCUAAUCGACCGUACUAUAUCGACCAAUGAUGAACCAGACCAAGCCCAAACCGGCCCGCAAGCCGACUCGGCCGCACUUAGCUCGAACCGGUUCGGAUCAGAUGAACCGGGUUUGGACAAAGACGGCAUGAACUCGUAAAGAAGCACAACUUCUUAUUCUACAGUUAAACGCAUUGUGUAUAAGUCGCACAUCAGAAUAUUCAACGAGAAAAUGUUUACAGCUAAUACAACAACUUGCCUCUAUUUUGCAGCAUAUCAAUGUCGUCUUGCUUAACGUCUUGUCUUCGACCUUUGUGAUGUGAUUUAUGGGUUCACCGUCACCCGUUCUCUUUGCCUGUGGUUAUAAUAACUAAGAAUAUAGAACACAAAGUCACCGACCACUUCCUUCAAGUAUGCCUUAAUAAGGGGCAUGCAUGUAUGUCGACAUAUUGCAUGCGUCAAGUGCGGGUCUCAAUUAAGAAAAGACAUUCUAACCAUGUUAUCAUGUACAGUGCAGAACUGUGGAGUUGCAGAGGAUAUCUAUCGACUUGUCCACAAGCAAAGAUUAAGUAACUGUAGUUGAAACAAGACCCAUGCCAACUUUCACAGUGCGAAGAUGAGUCAUGAGAGAGAGAGAGAGAGAGAGAGAGAAGUGACAGCAUGCAAAGGGCCAUCCCAAGGUGGGAGGAACAGGAAGGUGCAUAGGAGUCCAAUGGAUGUGAUCCUUCCAUCUCCAGCGCAUGGUUCCAAAGACCGGUGAUAAGGUCAGAAGUAUGGACCAUCAUAAUUCAAGCUGCGUGCCCAUGCUUCAUGCAUCUGUCAUGUGUCCCGAGAGUCAAGAAUCUGGUCAAAGUUUCUGAAACAAGACAUGAAGCAUGGCAUAGCUGUUGAUUUCGGGUGAAUGAUGUCAUCUUGAAAACCAUCUUGGUUAGAUCAUGCCAAACUUAGGCAAAGACAAAAAAUAGCUCAACAUUUGACUACAGAAAAGGAAGACAAGCUAUUUAUCUCACUUUCCCGAGCAACACAUAGUCAAAACUUGUACGAGUCCAAAGAUAUCUUUGCUUGAAAAGAUGUUCAAUAUCCAAGAAGUUACUUCCAAGAGGAGUUCGGCUGGGAUGGAACUCUUUUUUGUCUCACAGGGGAGGAAGCCAAAAACCCAUGCAUGGGACUUGGUUUAGGCUACGUGUCUUCUGGGAAGAAGGAAAAGUGGAAGCAUUGGAUUCAUAUCAAACGUUUAUAGUAGCCAAGAAAUCAAGCGAUGGAACCUCCGACACAACAAGAGGAAGAGAAGAGUGGGAAAAGACCAAAUCAAUGGUAUAGUUUUGUGGCGGAAAGCAUUCUCCGGACGCAAAGGAAACCCAACAAAAGCCGAAAGAAACAAAGACAGACACGGCACGAGGCAAGUUUGGCAUUCAAAGCCAAACAUAUAUAAUGCAUACAUGUAUAUACUUUGGAUAAAAGCAAAGUUGGUAAGGUGCCACAAGCAUCCAAGUUUGUCAUUUCCCUCUUCGUUUAGAUUUGCUCCAAAGCUUUUUAGUUUACCCAGUCAAAUGCCUGAUGGAGAUUUCUUGGGAUGAUUUAUUCAAGCUGACAUGUUAGAAACAAAUGACACUUCCCAAACUUCUCUUCUUUGGAUUUGAUCUGAUCCUGGUGAGCUUGGCCAUCUUAGUGUUCUUCUACCUAAACAUUAAUCACCUGCGAUCAUGGCAUGCAUUUGACUGCUUUUUUCAGUCUCGCUCAAAGGUUAAAUCUACCUGUAAACUCUGUGUUUCUAUCUAUACGUAGUCAAAGGCCUAAGAGAUGUUAGUAUAAUACAUAACAAGCCGAAAUAGGACAACAGAUAUAAAGCCCUUACCCAAUAGCAGAGGAACCUUACAAAGUAGGCUGUUCUUAUCGCAAUCUCCACCCAUCCUUUCUUUGCUUCUCCUGCUUCUUCCUACUUCUUGUUAUCGUCACCAGCAUCACCACAACAUAUAUCGUGAGAUCUUUUGUUGUCCACUGGAAUUUGUAUGCGAGAGAGCGAAGGAAGAGAAAAGGAGGGUUAAGGGACCUUUAAGGUGGAUCGACGGCAUGGGAAAAGGCCCCUUCCUCCUGAUGAGCCGGAGGAGAAGGAAGGACAUCAGCACGUGUGGUCGCAGUACACCUCAGUGCGCUCCGACCAGGAUGCGUCGGCCAUGGUCUCUGCUCUCUCUCGCGUGAUCAGCUCGAGCUCGUCGGUCAUCGACGCCUCAGCCGGGGAGCCGACGGUGAACCAACAAGGGAUUAAACUGGAGGGCGCUGAUCCUGGGGAGAAACAAGCCAUCCAGAUCUCAGAAGAGCAAGGUAUGAGCUUAGCAUCCUGCACCAAUUCCUCUCGAUAUUUAUAGCCUUUCUAGGAGACUUUUGGUAAUCAAAAUUUAGGCGACUAUCAAGAUUCUCGGUUGUAUCACGAGAUCUCUCACAAAUAGAUUGAUCGGAACACAAGAUUUUAGUUGCAACACUUGUAAUAUCUAGAACAGAAUAGAGUCAUGUCUGUAUAUGAUGGAUAGAUAUAUCAUGUAGGUUUUAAUUACUAAAAUAACUGGUAAUUUUUUGUCACUUCUUGAGAAUUCCGUGGCAUCCUCCAUGGAGUCAUUGUGAUCUAUGUUGGGCACUUACGCAGCUUUGGGUAUAUAUAAGAAUCUUCAUCUUAUAUAUUUUUCUUUUGCAUGGGGAUCGAUGAUUCUGAUGCUCCAUAUUGACCUCCAUACUUCCUUCUCUUUCAUACGCGGUAUAAUGAAGGGACUGUGAGAAGACACUACAGGGGGGUGAGGCAAAGGCCAUGGGGCAAAUGGGCAGCAGAAAUAAGGGAUCCCAAGAAGGCUGCACGUGUGUGGCUGGGGACCUUCGACACCGCCGAGGACGCGGCCGUCGCUUACGAUGAGGCAGCAUUGAGGUUCAAAGGCAGCAAGGCCAAGCUCAACUUCCCCCAGCGAGUCCAAGGCCGGGCGGAGCUCAGCUUCCUCGCCAGCCCGGGGAUCCCCAGAAGGCAACCACAGCCACCGACGCGGCCGCCGGCGUCUUCAUAUCCAGACUUGUUUCGAUACGCUCAGCUCCUCCAGAGUGGAGACGACAACCUGCAGAGCGUAGCCUCGGGCCUCUACGUCGGAAGCGCCUUCACGUCGGCGCCCUCUCAGGCCCCGCCAUCUUCUACGUCGGGAUCUCUACCGCAGUUCUUGGGCUUCUCGUCUCACUCGCCGUACAGUUCUUCUUCUUCUUCUUCUGGUUCAUGGGUUUAUGGAGAUCACAAGGAUAAAGACAGCAGUCGACCUCCCUGACAAUGACCAAUCUUGUGUUUGAGGGAUGGGACUUACUUGGAAAUGCUGGUCUGUUUCAUAGAAAGAUAAUACCUGUAUUCAUUGCUGAUCCUUCUCUGAUAACAUAUGGUGUGAUACAAGUGGGAAUGAAAGGGAGUUCGACCACAGUGUUUAUGUUGGUUUGAUUGGAUCCUUUCACCAUUUCUUUGUUGUGCCAUAAAUAAAGAAUUCGAUAUAAAAUAAAAGAAACGCCGUCUGUGGGAAUCGAACCCACGACCACAUGGUUAAAAGCCAUGCGCUCUACCGGCUGAGCUAAGACGGCUUCAUUAAUAAUUAUUAUGAUAUAAUUCAUUGUCGGAUAUAGGGGCCAUAUAUCACAGACGAAGAAGCGUCUCUCUCCUCUGUCAAUGUUCGGUCUCUCAGCCGUCGACUCCUAGAGCAUAUUUCUGGAGCAAAAGCCCACACUCUGGUAGGGGCGCCGCGUUGAGGAAGCCAAGGGAGUUGGCGUAGCGGACGCUGGUAGUCAGGCCGCUCUCGGCGCUGAUGAGGACGCGAGCGCGAUCCCUGCCGGUCAUGAUCUCGGAGCAGCCUGGGCGUGGGCUCUCCACCAGCACCACCUCGCAGAUCUCCUCCUCGUGGUUGUCCUCCACCUCGAGCGUGUAGGUGCCGCUGGCGUCCGUCACGGCCGUGGCGGUCUGCUCCACAACACCAGUGUCGUAUUGCCUGCACUCGAGUUUUACCUUGGCACCUGCACGUCAAAGCCAUCAUCUAAUUACUACUCCCUUCAAAUCCUUGGCGUCAGGAGACGAACAUAACAAUAACAGUAGCCCAGGCAUGUAUAGUUUCAGAGCAUUCUCGUUGUAUAUGGGAGGUUACCUUCAAUGUAGUCGGUGGCGCUGGUUUCGAAGCCAGCACGGCAUUUGUCGCAGUAAACACGGCCUUGAAUUCUGAAGGUUGGAAGAGCAAGGGCGACGCCGGCGAGGGCGAAGCAGAGAGCGGCAACGACAGGUAGAAGCUGGAGCUUGGCCAUUGGUCUUUCCCCUCGCUCUCAACCAAUGCGUGUAGAAACUUUACAGAGCCAGAAAGCAACGAGGAGAAAGAGCAAGGCAAUGGAUGCAGGAGAGUGGCCUGGCCUUUGAUGGUGCAUCCUGCGACCUAUUUAAGGAGUAAGCUAGGCGUGAUGGAGAUUAGGAAUGAAGAGGUUUAGUUGACCAAGUUUCGUGGUGUGCAACUGUUUCCUUGUUUCUUGUCCCGCCUCUGAAAUAUUAAGAAGACCGAGUCCUGAGGACAAGUGAUGGAUGAGUCGAGUCUUUUAACCUUUCUUGGAGAUUUCUGAGGAAUCGGAUCUUAUUAGAAGCCGUCUGUUGUUCGAUGGAGAGCUAUGGAAUUCAAAUCCACGUCCCAUAUAAUGGGAUUAAAAGCAGUCUCAUCUCAAUCUUGAAUGGGUGUCUCAAUCCAACAAUAACUCGCUGCUAAAUCUAAGAACCAGCUAUGAAUGAAAGUGAUAGUAUAUGUGGAGAUCAAAUACUUCGGAGAUGAACAGAACAACAAUGUCGUAACUGCUGACACUAUUGCAAGAUCUUCAGAUUUCAUUGAGCUCAUAUUCACAUCUCAAGAAUAACUUCUCAUUCUUAUGCAGAUAAUUACGCUACAAAAUUGAUAUUGGAAACAAAGGAACAUCUCUUUCUUCCUCGGUUUUGUGAUUUUUACAUAUUGAAGAACAGUUCCGAUCUCUAUCUCUCAAAGAUGCCUUUGACAUAAACCAUUCCUUUCUCGCUUAGACGGAGAUCUUUCCUCAUCUGCUCCACUUGCUGGUCGUCUCCACGAACAACGAUCUCCGAAAUGCUUCCGUUAUCACCAACUAUCAUCUUCACCUUGAUCUCUUCCUUACGAGAUGCCCGUUUCCAGUAAUACAAUCCCCUAAAACAUCAUUGCAACAGAUUGUAUCAUUUUACAUGUAUUGCCCGCAAAUACUAUGGAACAUUUGUUCACAAACUUACGCCAGUGGGCUUAGAAUUGUUAGCCAAAACCAGUUAUUGCCUCCUUCUGGAACUGCGAUCGACAGGACAAGGCCAACGCUUGCUAGACUAAUGCAGGUGCAGAAGGUCAGUAGUGCUGCUUGCCCUCUGCUUGGAACCAUCAUGCCUUCAAAUCUUUUGAACAGUGCACUCGUUAGUUUUAUAGAUCAGCAUCGCUCUAUGGUAUCAAAAGAACAUAAAUGCCACAAAACAUCAGACAAAGAAAAGGAAUUUACGAUAGUUGGAUUCCAAGCAAGACAUAUAAUGUGGGUGAUUCGACACCAUCUUGAUGGCUCUAUGCCUAAUUAUCAACUAAAUCUCUAAUGUGCAAAGUAGAGAGAAAAUCAAAAAGCCUCUUGUCAUAUGAAAAUUUGCAGAAAAUCCAAAGAAAUCCAAGGAAGAAAAAAAAACUUAAUUGUGCCAUGUCACAGUUUCACCUUCUCUUUCUUUUCAUUUAUAAAAAGAGAAAAAAAAGGGUUUUGGUCAUCAAAGCUCCUAAUUAAGGCCCAAAUUAUCUACAAAUUGCAGAGAGAAUUGAACCUAACCAAAAGUUUAUGGUUGCAGACAAUAGAAACAUGGAACAGCCGAGUUAAGCCGUAUAAUUUGUAGCCUCCCAAGAUUGUCAUCAUCGAAUCCUUUUCAUUUCAAAAAGAAGAACAAAGAUCUAAAAAAAGAGUCUCGGUCGCCACAUAAUAAUAAUGCUCUGCAAUGUUUAAAAAUUGCACACACCAACCCAAGUCACUCUAAAAGGUCACAUAAUUGCAAACCAACAUAAAAAUAUCUGCAGUCCACAUUGUUGUAUCCGAAAACUAUGGUUCCAAAUUUCCAAUCACUAACUACAAAUUUGACAUUGAUCCGCCGUAGCUUCUUCAUUAAGCAUUUGAAGUACUUUGUUAGCUUCGACAUCAUUGUCAACAACAAGAUGAAUAUUCUAAAAACUAACUGAACUUAACAGAGUAUAUAGCUUAAAUAACCUGUCUGAAUAAUAGCUUACCAAUUGACAUCAAAUCUUGAAACUGUUUUCCCUAACCAAUUCAAUUUUCUAUAUUAGUUUCAUCAUUUCUCACAAUGACAAGAUGAACAUAUGCUGUGGAGAAUGUAAUUGAGCUUCCGAGAGUAAAUAGCUCGAAUUUGUUUAUCCUGACUAGUAAUCACCAAUUUGAUAGCAGCCUUCUAUAGUCACAGCCUGACUGUGUUGGAUUCUGUGCUAGCUUGCUGAUUUCUCACAAUAGAUGAAUGUUCAAUGCUCAAGACAUAAUCAAGCUUCAAAGGUACAAAAUUUCCCAAAACAAAGAAGCGAGGUGGAUUUACGUGAUGGUUUCGCCGCGGUCGGAGACGGCGAAGUUGUUGCGAGUGAAGAAGGAUAAGAUCUCUCCAGCCACCUGGUUCGGGGUCACCGCCGCUCCCUCUUCCCUUACAAACGUCUUCUGCACUAUCUGUUCUUGCAAAUUCCCAAAAGCACCUUUAGGCCAAAAUUUCCUAGAAUUAUGAAACUAAUUCCAAGAUCUACCAUGGAAAAAAUCCAGACUUUGAGUCAAAAGUUCAAGGAUGAUCGACGAAAAUCCAAGAAUGAGGCGUUAGUCGAGGGAAGAAGGGACCUUGGACUUGACGGAGCGUUUGAUGAGGGACCAGAGACCAGGAACCGAGAUCACGAACAGCCCCAGCGACGUGUAGUAGCUCGCCUGGGAGUACCCCACGUCGCCCGCCGCCGACGAGACGUCGAGGAGGAACAGCGGGUCAGGGAGGAGCGAUAGGCGAGCCACCGCCGCCAAGGCCCCCCGCCCCUGCCGCCGCGGCCGGCGGGGUCCCACCGGAACGCCCAGACAUCUACAUCGGCGCGGCUCGGUCCGGCGAGGAGGGGCCGGGAGAAGAGACGAAGGGAGGAAAGGCUUGGCUGCUGCCAUUGCCACCGCUACCGGUACUGCCAAUGGAUAGAGAAAUCGAUAGCGGUAAAAUAGAGGAAUAAUGGAGGUUCUUUCAAUUAAGCCCCUCGUUCGGAAUUCUUAUUUCAUAAGCGUCCUUCACGGACGAGCAUAUGAACGGGAGAAGGGCACGUCGCAGAGGACUUCUCCUGUAGAAAUAUUUUGCGUAUUACACCUUAAUAUGUCGAGAAAUUAAUAGGCCUUUUUAGACCUAUGUGCGGGUGAAGUCUGGCUCGGACUAAAUCGAGUUCGGGUCGAGUCAAAGGCUGAAAUCCGAGCGUGUAAUAGAGACUAACAUGGCAGCCAAGCUUCCACGUUUCCUUAUUGCUGGACGCAGGUCGUCCCCGAAAAGAGAGAGACGCCAAUGGGAAGCUGACAACGACGCCAAUGACCCACACCAACCUUUUCGCUCCUCUCUUAUCUCUUCGCCUCUUCUAACGAGAGACCGAGAACGGAAGCGGAGCAGAUAGCGAAGAGGGAAAGAGAGAAGGAUAUGGCGCUUCAAGCACCGGCGGGACUGAGCUCCACCGUCGCGCCCUCUCGGACGAGCAUUCCACCGCCACUGUUGUCGUCACCUCCCAGCCACGCAGGCCUGCGCGGCCCUUCAGACCGCUACGCCCUCCGCUCCGCAUUCUUCUCUCCCUCCUUACGACUCCUGCUGUCGGCGCCGAGCCGAGGCUCCACCGCGGCGCCGCGGUUCUCCAUGCGCGUGGUGUCCAAGCAGGCCUACAUCUGCCGCGACUGCGGGUUUCUCUUCCUUCUCCAUGAUUCCCUGCUGUGACUCGACCCUCAUCGACCCCGCUCACUGUGUUUUCCUUGAUACUGUACUUGCAGCUAUAUCUACAACGAUAGGACUCCAUUUGAGAAGCUGGCUGACAAGUAUUUCUGCCCCGGUGCGGUCAAUCUCCUUGAGCUCGAAUCUAAUAACAACUCUCUGUUCCUUCCAAGUUUAUUUGGACAUGAAAAAGCUGAUUCAAGGAAAUUUCUAUUCCUUGCAGUUUGUGGUGCUCCUAAAAGGAGAUUCAGGGCUUACGAACCAGCAGUAGCCAAGAACGCUAAUGACAUCGACGUCCGUAAGGCAAGGAAGGCACAGAUCAAAAAAGAUGAAGCCAUCGGGUAACUCCUACGAUCGUAAACUGAUCCCACUGAACAUAAUUAGAUGGGUGAGAUUGGUUGCUCAGAUGCAUUCAUGUGUUCUGCAGGCGAGCAUUACCUGUCGCUAUAGCGCUCGGAGUUGCAGGGUUGGCUGGCCUUUAUUUCUACCUCAACAAUGUCUACUAGUCUGUUCAAACACAAGCAUGGCUUGGGCAAGAAGCAAUACACUGCAUAACUUUCAAACCUCUUUUUCUUGGUUCAAUCGAAGGUUCCUAUGUUUCUGUAACUAUAAGAAUUCUGCUUCCAGUGUCAGAUUUUGUUUGUCAAACAGUGAGAUAAGUAAACGCCAGUUCUCAAAACCAUUCAGAUACAACCAUAAACGAGUACAUUAUCGCAUCAAAUUAGAAGGUAGCCACAACUUUAUUUCGACAAUUUUCAGACUACUUGCAGCAUUCUGGAAACAAUGAUAUGAAGCCACAUUAUUUGAUGAUGUGGUAAGGAGCUCUCCAACAUUUUGGUUCCAUCCAGUGAUAUAGCAAAAAAGAUGCCUUCCCCUGGAAUUAUAGAUGGGCAUCAUACUUCAUCCUUUUGAACAUGAAAUGGUAGAUACAUGUAGCGGUCACUGUAGUUAAAAAGAAGCUCGAUAUUAGAUGUAACAUCAAGAUUUAACAGCAACAUGCUGUAAAAAGACAGAAGCUCUGAGAUAAACAGACACAACUUGUUUUAACCUGAAAAAGAGCCACUUAAAACUUGCUUACGAGCAUAAAAAUUGUGGAAAUGAGCUGAAUCAAACAGAUGGUAACAAGGACCAAAAGAACUUUUGUUCCACUCCUUACUAGUUCAGUAGCAUAAAUGUACAAUGCACGAAGAAGCUACUUGAGUUCAUGAGUUCAACUUCAACCAGUUUGGAAUAAGGCAGAUCCAUCCCCAUUUAGAUUGGUACAAAAAUAAUGGAGAUGCAUGAUUAUAUACAUCCUUGCUUUAGAAGAAUAGUGACCACAUAAGCUGGAGAUGGAUCAAAAAUCAACAGCUGUAACAACAGCAAGAUGAAGUAUGAUUGUGUAUAUGUAUCUAUGUAUGUCUAAGACAGAUUAGAAAUCAGUUUAUGUCUGCAAAAUUUCAGUUGCCAUCUAAUCCUCGCACAAAAAUGUUGCAAGUGACAGAAAGAUUUCAUAGCAGCUUUUUGGGUGUCUAAGGGAAGGAAAUUGCAGAGAGAAAUGCUCAAAGAUCCUUAUCCCUUCGGUUCACAGUCGAUGAACAUAUCCUUGAACAUUAGGAAUAUAUAGUUGAAGAAAAAUUCUCAUUGCUUACAUAAUGCAAAUAAAUGAUGUCAUCUAAUCGGCUGAUCUAUUUGUUUCAAGUUCAUGGAUCGCUCUUCAUACUCUUCAUGUGUAGUGACUUUUGAUAUGCAGAGGAAUAUCGAGUACAGAUGCAAAUACCACAAUUGUAUUCUAAUACUUCUAUAUCAUCACUGAGGAAAGACUUGUUUCCAUAAACAUUUUUCUAGUUGAUGUUUCUUAUCAUUUCUAUCCAAAAACUACAGAGUAUGAAUGUAUUUAUGUUUCUUAACAUCUUCAUUCAAAUUUGCAGCAUAAAAGGGUUCAGGGAAACUAAAGAGACAGCAUUACGAGUCUGUCGUGCAUUGCAUAUAUAUCACAAACAAUAGCAAGGCAAAUGAGAAAGAGGCGGUCAUCUUAUUGAAAUGGAUCUUUCCUUGAGGUAGGACUAAAGUUACUGACUUACUAGCACAUAGCAUCGUUACAUAUCAUACUGGGAUAGUCCUUUCAGCGAUCUUGCAAGCAUUUGGCUCGGACCAGAUUGGUACUCUCGGUCUUCUUCCUCGUCUUUGUCAAAGCAGUAAGCAGGGGCUUGCCAUUUUGCGUCCUCGAGUGCUGCUCCCACUUCAAAUGUCAUCACAUGAACAGAUCUCCCUGCAGCUCAUCACACAAUAAUAUACAUCAAAAUACUUGCAAUAAAACAGUAUAUUUACGCAGAGACUCAAAGUCCAUGACUCCAAAAGCAAUUAAAAAUUAGGAAAUAGCAAAAUCGUAAGUACUUAAACAUACAUCUAAGAAUUCAGAAAAAAGAGACUCUUACACGAAUACGAAUUCCAAAGCAUCCAAUCAACUUCACAGAGGCAUUCAAGGGGAAAGAAAAAGAAAGAUUUUGUAUGAAAAAAAUUGUAUCAGAGAUCAGAAAAACCAUGAAAUCAAAAUUUUCGGCGCCUCCAAAGAUACGAUUUUGGAUAUCGUGUGACAAAAGUAUUGGAUUUUUUCAGUUUCCGAAGCACGAAUCCAGUGGUUGAGGAUUUUCAUCGAACAGGUAAUGCACACUCAUCGAACCGACCGGUGUAGAACAGCCAAUGCACAGGCCGCCUGGUUUCGACGUCCUCAUAAUACCAAAUGAACUGAGCCUUUUCCCACACAUCACAGAUAAAGCCGUCAACGGCCUCCCUGCCGAGGUAGGUAGCGCCGUCGAGCCAGUCCGGGCGGAGUAUCCCGACGUCGAAGUCGACGGUGCGGCAGCGGCAAUUGCCGUCGAGGGUGUAGUAGAAGGAGGUGCCAUUUCCCCACUCGAGGUCGUACAGCAGCUCGCCCAGCUGGUGCUGGAUGAUGUUGAAGUUGCGGGAGUUGGGCCAGUCGUACCAGAGGUCGACGAACGAGAGGGCGCCGCUAUAAUUGAUGUAGAGGAGGGAGUGGAACUGCGGCGGCCAUGGCGUCGGGGUAGGAGACGCGCCCUCUCCGGUCCUUCCUGCUGCUGGUAUUGUCGUGGUCGGUGGCGAAGAACCAGUGGAGGAGAUGGGAAAUAACAGGAUGAAGGAAGCAAUGAGUAGCACGUGAGAGUCGGGAGGUGUCAUCGAGCGCUGCUCCCAACAAUCGCUGCCAACAAAACAACAUAUAUUGAUAUCCGUCUUCCCGGACACGUGUCAAUAGCAAGAGCUUCUUGAUAUUCUAUUAUUUCAAUAUUAAAUCUUUAUAUAGUGUAUUAUUUAUGUUCAACUAAUUGGAUCGAAUCGUACCCGAAGAAGCAAUAAUUAAUGCGAGUAUUAACUUAGGCAUAAUUGUUAUAGGUUAAUCAAAACUAAACAGAUAAUUGAUAAUCAUAUAACACUAUAUAUAUUUCGUAAUUUCAUAUAUAUAAUAAGUUGUCAUAAGCGCAACCAAUCUUCAUAUACUGGUCAUCAUAUUUGUUAAUGAUUUUUUACGCCAUGACCGAGAUGUCAGUAUGGCUCAGUCCAAUCCUGAAUGCGUAAGAUUGUUCACUCGGAAGUUCGAGUGGUUGAAGCGAGUGUCGGGUCGAGUUGAGACUCCUCUCUCGAAUGCGAUCUUCUCUCUUGACGAGUUGUCUUUUUCUUUGUCAUUAGGCUUUUAUACACAGGCCAAGGUCGGGAGAGAGAUUUCUCGACUCAAUCUCUCCGAAGUUUAAGUUAGUAUUAUGUGGAAAAAGAAGUUUAAGAGAGAUUUCUCAACUUAACCUCUCUUGAUACUGGUCAAGAGAUAGACUUUUAUAUUUAUGAACGAAGAUCAGUUGUACGUGAUCGCUUAAUAGUGACAGAUUUAUCGGGUGGUCGACUUGUACCUCCCAUGCAAGUGUCGCCCAACCUGCAUGGAUCUACUUUGCGUGGUGCCGUUCCAAACUUUUCAGAGUGAUUUUAUGCUAGACGACAUCGUCUCAUACGACCUUGGACAGCACGAGAUAGGCGACUAUCUCACCCAAGUCCAAGGUGUCAUGUCGACGUGAUGUACUAUAUCAGUCUUGAGUUUCCAUGUUAAUGCUAACGUGGUUGUUGAUUGUUACCGCGCGGGUGGCACCAGAAUAUGCUCUAUUAAUAUUUAUUAUUAUCAUUCCAUAAAAAGUACCUUCGGAUUACUCGCCGCUACGUUCCCGGUUGCCAAUAUACGUCAUUCAUUAAUCUGCCAUUUCCUUGUGAUCAGAUAGAAUUAAUGGCUCACAAAAUCCUUGGUUGAGCCAUUGCUGCUAAUUGGGUAGUUGGCCACUAGUCCGGUGGUUUUCUCUCAUAUUAGGAAGUUCGGUGGUCACAAAUGCAACAUUCGAGACGCCCAAAUACUCUUUUCUCCUUCAGUUUAUUUAUUUUUUCAUAUUAAUUUUAGGAUGAUUUAUCUGAAAAUUUUAUUUUUGAGCUUUUCUGGAUAAUAUUUUUAUUUUUUUUAUUUUUCUAUUUGAUGGAUCUAUUUUUAUCUAAUAUCCUAAACGUUUAUUGACACCUCUCUUUAUCUUGAUGAUCAUGAUGAGAUGAAAACGAUGAAAUUUUAUCGUGAUUUAUGAUAAUUCUUUUGUUCAUAUGAAUUUUAUUGAAGAGGUUGAUGCUUGUGAUUAGUCUCAUGUAACGAAGUCGUUGAAGAGUUGACUAUAUAGCGAAGAAGCAUUUUUCCUUGUCCUAUUAAUGGGAGCACGUGCAUGCUAUCUCACCUUAUCGUCGUCCGACUCGAGUCGUAGUAGUUGUAAUGGGCGUGCAUUAAAUCUAUUUUAUUUCACGGCGCAAUUUACUUGGCCAGAAUACGACUUACGUAAACGUCUCUCCCACCGCCGUAACGGCGUCCACCGUUACUUUUUGAGUGCAAACUUUACGUGAAAGUUAUACGGAAAAUAUAUAUUUGGUUCAAAUACACGUACCGAGGUUUCGCCACCCAGAGACUUCCUCGUCCUUCGUGGCUCUCUUGUAGGCUUGAACUAUGGGACCCACAUAGAAAAGUACACUGAUGAAGUAGGACAACAACGUGUCUGAGGAAACGGAGUUUAUUAAGCACCAUAGAACGUAACACUAGAUAACGUUUUCUCCCACGCCUUCAGCACGAUAAAUAGUAGGGUUUGAUGUUGUAGUUACAGACAACUUCAUAGCCAAAUAAAUCCACACCGACGGAUAUCAAUAGCAGUAGCCACACAACCAGUUACAGGGAGAUUCACGUGAUGGAAGGAAAAGCUUGCGUCAGUGAGCAGCGAUGGGGAUGCUGUGCAAGACCACGGUCUCCACCGUGAGCCCGGGACCGAACCCGAAGAGGACGCCCCACUCAAGCCCCUCGCCGGUGGUCGCCUUCCCGUCCUCGGCCGACCGCUUCCUCAUCUCGUCCAGGAUGAACAGCACGCAGGCGCUCGACAUGUUCCCGUACUCUUUCAGCACCUCCCGCGUUGCCUUCAUCUUUUCCUUCUCCAAGCCGAGCUUGGCCUCCACCUGGUCGAGGAUCGCCGGCCCGCCGGGGUGCGCGAUCCAGAAUAUGGAGUUCCAGUCGCUGAUCCCCAGCGGCUUGAACGCCUCCGCCAGGCUCCGCUCGAUGUUCUUGGAGAUGAGGCCCGGCACGUCCUUGAGCAGAUGGAAGGUGAGGCCGACCUCCCGCAGGUGGCCGUCGAUGGCGCCCUCGGAGUCGGGGAGGAUGGUCUGGCUGGCGGAGACGAGCUGGAAAAUCGGCUUCUCUGUGGCGGGGUCGGGGUCAGCGCCGACGAUGAUGGCCGCGGCGCCGUCGCCGAACAGGGCCUGCCCGACAAGGCUGUCGAGGUGGGACUCCGAGGGCCCGCGGAAGGUGACAGCGGUGAUCUCGGAGCAGACCACGAGCACCCGGGCGCCGCGGUUAUUCUCGGCCAGGUCCUUGGCCAUGCGGAGCACCGUGCCGCCCGCGAAGCAGCCCUGCUGGUACAUCAUGAACCGGUUGACGGAGGGUCGGAGGCCAAGCAGUUUGGUAAGCUGGUAGUCAGCGCCAGGCAUGUCGACGCCGCUGGUGGUGCAGAAGACGAGAUGGGUGAUCUUGGACUUGGGCUGCCCCCAUUCCUUGAUGGCCUUGACAGCCGCCUCCUUGCCUAGCUUCGGCACCUCCACCACCACGAUGUCCUGCCGAGCGUCCAGCGACGGCGCCAUGUACGCGCAGACGUUAGGGUUCUCCUUCAGGAUCUCCUCGUUGAUGUGCAUGUAACGUUUGCGGAUCAUCGACUUGUCACCUGAACAAGCAUGCAGUACAGGGAUCACAACUCCACAACCAAGACUUCAUCUUUGGAUCACACACUUGUCCCUUGAACCAGCAUGUAGUGCAAAGAUCACGAUUACACAACUACAACAUCGUCUUUUUUAUUAACUAUGUCAUGUGAAUUCACGUAUCAUGUGCAUGUUUUAUACUUUUUAUUUAUUGAACCAGUUGUGAUCAUCGCAGGAACAACUAAACCAGUCAGAGGAGACCUUUUCUUUUUCGUCUCUCUGCUAACAUAGAUAAAGGCGGAGGUCCCAUUUAUUUGUUAGAGAAGAAGGAACCUAAAGAAAUGAAUGGCACUUUAGAUUAAAGAAACGGCACGUACACAUUCUCUUGAACUUUUCCUUGAGUUCAGUGAGGUGCUCGCUCUUGGUGAUGCGGAAGUAGUAGUCUGGGUAGUCGGCCUGGUACAAGACGUUGACAGGGGUGGCGGUGCCGAUGGCGAGCACCGUCGCCGAACCCUCUGCCCUCUGCGAUUGCCUGAUCUCUGCCAACUUGGCCAUGAGCUAGAAGUGGGUGUAGGACCAAGUACUAGGUCGAUCGAAGAGUUGAUGGUUCGGUCCGGAGAUGAGGAGGCAGAGGGGGUGGAGGCGGGAGAUAUAUAGCGGUGGCUGGUUAGGUUGAACGGACGGACAGAUGUGAAGCCACGAGGAGCAGAGAAGGUUUGGUGGGAGGCUAGGCACAGUGAACGCCACGCGGGUCACCAGCUUCCUCCUCCCGUCAGCUAAAAACUUAACCUGUAAACUCCGACUCCAUGCAUUUAUUCAUCUCUCAUCUGCCGCGCGCACACCUCGUGGCCUUCUGGUUGUCGCAGACCACAAGGCGAUCGAGCGUCCCGUCAACGGGUAGAGGAAGAGCCCCUCUUUGUCUGAUCUUGGAAGAUGCACUUCGCCGUGAAGGGUCGGAUCGAGACUCGAGAAGCAGUGACACCGCGCAAGGGGAAGGCACUUCGCCUCCCGUCCACCGGUGUGCGUCGCGUCCGUCGUUCGUACGUAAAAUCGCUGCUUAAGUGGGCCCUGAAAUAAAUCCUCCGCGUCUACUUUGUCAAAUGACGUCGACAAAGACUACUUGGUUAGUCCGCCAUGGACACCAAAAGACCCAUGAAUACCCAAGGCCGCAGAAUCCAUGACGUUGGACGUGUCAGGUGGUUGCCACCUGCUUCUGUUGAUGUAUACGGGAGACUCGACAGGGGCCACAACUUUAGCUACAACCAACGAGAAACGUGGGAAACUACCUAAUUAACGAUAACAACUGGUCCUCCGUAGCUAAUUUUUUGCUACCUACCUUUUAUUUCAUCACAAAUUGGUGUCGCAUUCGUUCAUAAAUAAUAAUAUAAAUUGGAUUACUGUUCAGCCACUGUUUGUGUACUGAAUUUUUGUUUUAAUUUCAAGAGAUUUGGUUGGAACCAUUUUAAUUGUUUGUGUGAAAAGUAUUGUUUUUUGUCGAACAUUAUACAUUAUUGAAUUUUUUGAAAUGAGAAAAAAAUAUUAAAUAAAAAUUACAACGUGAUACAAUCAUCAUAAUUUAAACAUAAAACAUAUAUUUUUUUGAAAUUACUAGUAUUUUUCAUUCAACUUUAAAAGACAUUACAAAAUUGAGAUGAAUUUUGCUUUAGAGCAAAAAAGAUGCUUUUAAUAUACGCAACCUUCACAACGAGCCGACACAGGCUGGAGUGCGCGGCCCAACGUAAUACCCCAAAGCGCGUCACAGGCCGCUGGCUCGUGCAGGGCACGUGUCAAGCUGCGCUGCGAUCCGGGGAAGAGCGCUCAUGUUUUCCAUACUGUUGAUGAAGUCCUAUUAACGUGUGUGAUCGUUCGUAGCCCGAUCCUACGGCUGAAAUGCGUUUAUGUUCCCUAUAAAUUCCGUUCAAUUUCGGGGUUUCGAUAUCCGUCUCUCGUUGCCGCGGGUAACCGCGCGAUAACGGUGCGAAGCCAUAUGUAGGGUUUCCAUCGCCGCCGAAGGCUUAGACGAGAUGGUAAGCUCGCCGACUUCGAUAUAUCCCUCGCGAACAUGCUGUGUCCAGUUAUUGUUACUAUUUAUUUUCUUUUUUCCGGUGGUGUUUUGGUUGAUUAGGUUCUACCGAAUGAUAUUGAUCUCCUCAAUCCCCCAGCGGAGCUUGAGAAGAGAAGGCACAAACUCAAGCGUCUCGUUCAAUCUCCCAACUCCUUCUUCAUGGUGAUCCCCGAUUCGUUUCAUCAAGUUCUUUAGUUUUCCUCUCUCGCGCGUAAUUUUCGGUUCUGAUUGAUGUUUCUUUCUUCUGGUCUACGUUGUUGAAGGAUGUGAAAUGUCAAGGAUGCUUCAACAUGUAAGUUCUGCUGUUGAUCACUGCAUUUAAUGAUGAUCUCGUGUUCUUAACAAUUUUGGAUGGUUCUUGAAGCUAUCAUUGAUUGGAUGCCGCAGAACUACGGUGUUUAGCCACUCGCAACUGUUGUGGUUUGCGGAAACUGCCAGACCGUUCUGUGCCAGCCGACUGGCGGGCGUGCAAGGCUCACCGAGGGCUGCUCUUUCCGACGAAAAGGCGAUUGAGCCUAUCUGUGCGCUUUUCUUCCUUUCUCUUGAUAAAUCUUUGAGAAGCUUGGAAUCAAAUUUAUAUGCGAGUUUUAACACGAUGCUGUUUUAAUUGUCAGUAACGAGAAGAUGUAAGACAUAUUAUGCUUUUUACUGGGGUUGGCAGUUCAUGUAUUAUUCGUAAUGUAAUUUCUACCUGCCCAUUAGUAUAAUAGAAGAUACACAAAAAUAUGUCAUAUGAUAUACUAGCGGAUAAGAUAACAAUAACCAUCAGUCUCAGUUGAUGAUGUAUAUGGUAAAACAAUAUGCAUUUCUCAAGAAUAAUUAGUUGAACCUGAAUGUUCUAUGUUAAUACUUCUAGGACAUGUUUGUACGUGCACAUAUUAGUAUAUACAUAGGGUAAUAAUUUCUAAUUCAUUUGUUUGAUGGAACAUGCUUGUGGGUGAUUUUGUUGGGGAGUUCCUUGUUGUUCCUUUUGUUGGGCUGGCAGCCCACAAAUUCAGCUCAUAGUUGGCUUGGGCAGCCCACAGCUCAUCCCCUUUUAACCUAAUCCUAAUUAACAUUAGGGGGGGGUGUGGUGGUUGCGUUUUGGAGGCAGAAAAAGGCAUAAAUAUGGUAGUAACGUAGGAGAAAGAUACGGGAUUCCAAAGAAAAUGAGGAAAACAAGGCAGAAAAUGAAUAGAAAGAAAGGGAGGACAAUGCAAAGAGGCUGUUCUCAAUCAUUUAGCAGUGUUAUCAUCUCAAGUUAGAUCAAAUCUACAGUAUACUUUUGUUGUGAUUACUUAGGGAGGUUUUAGAUAUUGUAGGCAGUGACGUGAUCCUUAUAUCUCAGUUAUUUUCUUGUGAUAGUUUCUAGGGUUUAGAGUAAGAGAUUGAGAUUUGUAUAUCUAUUAUUUUCAUAGUGGAUUAUCUCUAGUUUACCCCGUGGUUUUUACCCUUCAUAUUGAAAGAGUUUUUCAUGUAUAUCUUGGUGUUUUAUUUAAUUGUGGUUACAUUUAAUUCCGUUGCGUAUUAUGGUUUUCUAAUAUUUGUUCAUAUACAAAAAUUAUUUCUAUUUAUAUCCCCAUCACCUUUUAUCUUUUUUUCUUCUAGUGUCACACUUGUUUAGCAUAAUGGAUUUUGCUACACUAAGCUGAGUGCAUGGUGUUAGUAGGAAUAAAAAAUUUACAUUCGAUUGGAACAAAAAUAUUUACAAGUGUGAGAUGAAUUAAUUAAGGAGUUGGUGUAUUCCCUCGGUCUCAUGCUGGCACGCCUUGAGCAAAUCGAGUGGGAUACCAUUUGUGUUGAUUCUUCUACUUGCAUGUAUGUGGAGAAUUGGAAGGACGUUGACACUAGUAGCUAAACAAAUCAGAAAAGAGCAUUAGGAAGAAAUGAAGAGGUAGGGUUUGGACAGAAAUCUGCGUUGCUUCGAGAUCCUUGAAAUAGCCGUAUGAUAUGUGGUCUAACUCAGCCUAUCAUCUUGCUCUUUUAAAUUGGAUACUAUGGGGAAAUACGUAAUUGAUCCUUUGGUUUUCGUUUCAGAUUUGCACGUUGCAACUUUUGGGUUCGCAAAGCUAAAAAAAUGCAAUCAAAUCACAUUAGUAAACUUCCAAAAAUUAUAAUAUUCAAAAAUAUAUAAAUUUAUAGUUCAUAACAUUUGAAAUAUAUAAAGAUUUACGAUUCAUUUUAUUGUUAUGGAUUGUUGCUUCUCGUGUUCAACUUCGUAGAACAGCUAAAGUCCUUAUUUUUUUCAUUCUCUCUUUUUUCUUUGGCACUCCAAGUGCUUAUUGAAUUGUUGGUAAAACUGUUAUUUUUUGCGAGACGUCGGGGCUUGUCCGUCGCUUGUUUUCAAUCUAAUAAACUUUCUAUUUUACAGGUUUUUCGGGACCUAUAUGAGGUUGCAACUAAGUUGAACCUUUGCGGAUGCAUAUAUUACAAGGGCGCCUUAUGACUUAGACGAUCCGAGCUAAGUUCGAGGAGUUGGCGCAAGAGUGUUUCACGAUUUAGGCAAUUUCGGUUAAGUUCGUGAUUUUGCCACAUGAAUACCUCGUCACUUAGUCGAUAAGCAUUAUGUGACAUUUUGGAGGUUGCCAACUCAUCUGCCCAAUGUCCCCCUUGCGAGAUUCGAUCUUCGAAUUUCUGGACUCUUCCCAUCUAAAGCAAGGAAUUCAAUCAUGCAAAGACAGUUCAAUUAGCGAAAUAAAGUGCCUGGGCCGACGCGACAUAUGGGGCCCAUGGAGCUGAUUAGUAGGCAGAUCAAAGAAAGGAGACGUUGGACGAAGGUAACAAAGAAUAUACUAAUCACUACUUCUAUUUGAGCGAACGAUUAACCACAUCAGAGACGUUGGAGAUCGUCUCUUUGCAUCACGUCUUUCGUUUGUUUUUAUGGUUCGACGUGGCAGCGUCAUUUUAUUUUUCAUUUGGAUACAUCUCGAUACAGACAGAGCACGACGGCACAAACGUGGCGACUCCCGUCCGGCUCACCACGCUCGUAUCCUGACACUCCCUAUAUUUGGCCGCAGCGACAACGAUCGCCGCAACGGGACCCGCGUGCUCACGAACUGCAAUUUUGUUUCUUGCCGCUCGACGACAAAUGCGUUGUGGGAGAUCGAACGCAACAGGGGGCCCGCAAGCUUUCACGUGGUUGGACUCCCGAACCCGGUACACGUCAGUAUUUCAAAGGCGAGACAAAGACGGUGAUGUAAACGUUUAUUACUGCGUACGUGAAUAGGACGAGGCACCUGCUCCUCCAAAGCUUCCAUAAGCCCCUACGAUGACGGCCCUUCCAUUAGACGACGAGAAACACCGAUCCCUAAGCCCCUACGAUGACGACUCUUCAUUAGACGACAAGAAGUGAAACGACAAAACGAUGGUGAUGCAGAUAAGGAACGGCAGUAAAGGAGACGUCUCUGUGAGUUGGAGGAUACAGUUUGCUAUGGCUCCUCUCUCAUGCUUGCUAAAACUCCACAAAAUGGUCGAUGGAUGGGUGGACGGAGAAUGGACGAGAACACUCCAAGACCUUGGCCCAUCCGACGGUGACAGAUCAGCCACGCGUCGGAACGAGUGCUCGAGAUCAUCUUUGAUUCUAAAUCACAAUCAUCCGAGUUAUUUUUUUAAUUAAAUAAGAAAAUGACAUGAUAGGUACAAUUAUCCUCUAAUAUAUAAUGCUCGAGAAACAUAGUUGGCACACCGUGGAUAUAAAACAUAUAAUAAGGCUCAUCUUGUGGAUCUAACCACAAGAUGCCACCUAAGUUAUGGUAAUUUCAAUCAGCAAUCAUUUAGAAAUGCUCAAUUAUCAAGUUAUGCUAAUCCACGAUGCAUCGGAUGGUGGUCGCCAGUUGGGCAAUAUUAUUAUUAUUAUUAUUAUUAUUCUGAAAAUAGCAGCAAAAUUAGAUUACUCGGACCUAUCGUCAAACCGGCCGAUUUCCCGGUCCGCUGCCGAAAUCAUCGCAUCAAGUGGCUGGCGGAUUGCUGAGGCAGCCUUCCCUCACCGCAUUGCUUGCCACCCUGCCAUGCCUCCCCAUGUUCGACAGGUAACAUGGCAUCAUGGCGGUGCGACCCUUUUAUCUUCUUAGCUCUCCUCGAGAGAUCUUUAAUCUAAUCAGAUUCGGACGGAUGGUUGACAUCCUCCUGUUGAACUUUGAUGGGUAAGGUGUAAGCUGCAAUAAGAUUUUGAAAUAAUAUUUAUUUUUUAUUAGAAAAACCUUUUAAAUUGGCUCAGCCUUUUUUACUCAAUUAUAUUGAUAAAGAUAACAUCGAAAAUUUCCCAACCUUGAAAACACCCAUCUCAUCGGACGCUAUCAACUCCACCGUGUAGUAUAGAUAUGGACCAAGUUGUGAUGCAAUUUAAAAGGCCCCCCUCGCAUCGCCUACGUCGGCACACAAAAGGUGGGGUGCCACCACGACCAGCCAAUAGGUUUAGUUGCAUGUAACAGCGCCCAAAUGAACGGGGAAUUAUAAAUCUCCAACCAUUCGAUGUUUCAUCAUCACAACCACUUUUAUUAAUACAAAAUUGUCACCGUCGGUAGGACUUUUCAUGGUAAAUGUUUCAUACAAAUCACUAAUUAAUUCUUCCAAAUAAAAUAAAUAAAUACAAAGGGGACAAAUGUGACAUCACGUGGCAUUGAGAAAGACUUUGAAGACCAUGGUUAUCCAUUUUCUCACGUCAUCGAUAGCGGCAUCUUUUGCGGCGCUGCUGCUGCAUGUUGACGUUGAGGAGAAGCCCAUCGCUAAUUAAUAUCAACUUGUGGUUCGUGUGGUUGUUCGAGUAAGCUAAGCGACCGUCUUAAAGUAAAUGAGCGGCUUAAUUGUCUGCUUAUGAUGAUUAGUUGGAGCGUUAAAGCUUAUACCAUUGUCAGGUCUUUCAAAAGCGAUUCAAUUAAUUAUUCGUAUGAUUGUUUCCAUGUAAAACACAAAUUUGCCUCCACCUACGAGCAAGAGAAGAUGAACACGAAUUUGCCUAGUAACAAUUAGACAGAUAUAUUUUUAUCCCUAAAUCUAUCGCUCAUGGUGGUGUUGUGAAGAAUAAAAAGAAAUGAGAAAGCGAGUCUAGUUCUCUUUCGUGUUUACGUCUGUUAUUUCUUGGUAUUUGAAUGGUCAGCAUAUGGAGCCCAUAUGCUCCAUUGAGAAGACAACAUCGCCUCAGAAACGGGUUUGGCUUGUUUACGACCUUUCUCCACGAGGAAGACAGCAGUGGUCAGUCGAGUCACAAAUCCACUCAAAUAAUCCACAUGAAAGAAUGUUUCGCACGGUGAAGUCUAAUCGCGCAAACGAACAAACUAAUCCCCGUGGGUGCAACUUUUCCCCAGCCUUGUCGUAUCUCAGCGGAACCAAAGACACAAUUUGGUGCUUCGUAAUGUUCGUAGAUUCGCCCGCCAUAUGCGUGCGUGCAUGCAUGCAUGCAUGAGUACUAAUUGCACUCCCAAUUCCCAGUGGUUCAGUGGAUGCAGCUCGAGAGUACUCGAUAUAAGCCAUUAAUCUUCGACACAUUCCGCGAACCUCGCAAAUAUGACGAGGAUGAUUUCAAGGGGAGCCUCUCCCAGAAAGAACCUCCUCGUUCACAGGAAGAGUACCCUUUUGUUUCUUGUAUUUGAAGACAAGUACACAACAAGAUUGAUGAGAUGUACAUAAAAACAUUAAAAUAUUAGAAGAAAACAGUUCAUCUAUUUCCCAAAGAAACAACACGUAGAAAGCAAGCAUCUCUGUGUCCUGUUUCUAUCAACAGCAGCGUCAAGACACAACGUGAAAACAUCACGCACUAGUCCAAUAAUUGCAGUAGAAGAAAGAACAUCAUCAGCUGAUCUCUCUCUCUUCGUACCUUCCUAUCGUUUGUUGUUGAAUCCAUCAAUAAAAAAGCUACUUUUAUAGAUCACUAUCUACGACUGCAGUUGAUUUGGUCGCGCCGGAAAUUUCCCUCGAAUCUUAGGUCUCUGGAUCACAGCUUCGGUGCAGGGGGUGCGCGGCUUCGCUGAAGGAUCCCAACCUCUCCGCUUUCUGGUAGUGGCUGCGAUCGUAGAUGGUUAACAAAGUCCUCGUUUCUGGGCGCGCGGGCUCUGCUCCCGUAGUAUUAUCCCCUCGUCGGUGUUGCGCUCGAGGGUUUGCAGGACUUAAUUAAAGCUGCGUUGUUUAAGGCGUAAAUUAGUCGAGGCUCGGGCGGUUGGGUUGACCCCAGAGGCAUUAUAUUCGGCGGCGGGAAUAGGAGGCAGCAGCACCUCCUCGCCUCCAUACGACUGUCGUUUCUCUGUUCCCCGUCUCCCUAGCUUUUGAAUUCGGCGUUGGGCUUCGAGAACCUCGAAUGCGGCGGCGAGGAAGGUUGGGAGAGCAAGCGUGCAGGUUUAGGAUAAGAAAGGUGUGAUCUUUUCGGGGAAAAGACGCAGUUGGGAGAGGGUUAUGAGGGUGGUGUCCUGCUCGCCGAUUGAGAGAGUCGGUGGUUGUCUCAGGUGAGAUGGAAGGCGUAGCAUGUUGCUUCGGGCUAAUUUCUCCCAACAAGUUGGUGUCUUGUAGCCUUUACUGAUCUCCUGUGAUCUGUCUGGUCCUGUUUUGUUGGUUAAAGUUAGGAGCUCCUUCUUUUGUCGUGGAAGUAUGUCGUCUCCUCUGCUCGCUCGCAAGGGCCGCCACCAACAGCGGUAUGACAACCAGCUCCGGCUUGUCGCAGGGUACUUCCAAAGCUCACAGUUUUAGAUCUCACUUUAACUUAUAUUACAUGUUGUUUUGGAUUGGAUGACUUCAAAGUUACUGUAGCAAUGCUCCAAUGAGAAAGAAGAAUCAUUUCUCUCAACCGCUCUUAGCUGGUUGUGUUAUGGUAUUCUUUAAAGCAAAAAAGCAGAUGAAGCUGGAAAAUAAGGCAUCCAUAGUGCACAAAGUUGACAGUGGAAGCCAUAAUGCUUGUGCUAUAAUCUAAUUCCAUGAAGUUAAAAAGUAAAAUUGUUGUUUGAUUGAGAGUGACAAUGUCUGAAGUAGUUGUGGCAAUAUGGAUGCUCCAGACCCAUCAGAUAUUGCAUUUAUGUGAUGUUCUGGUAUGGAUUCUGCUUCAUCUAAAAUAUUUGCCAAGGUUGUGUGCCAAAAGUAUAGUUGAUCUAUGUUUUUUCGAAACUAAAAUAGCAUAAAUUAUCAACCAGCAUAGUGGAUCAGUGCUUGAUUUCUCGUGUGUGUUCCUUUUGGGGCAGAUGUAUACCCUACAAGGUAAAAGCAGAUGACGGUAACCGAUCUGGUGAUCUGCUCGGCAGAGUGGAAGUCCUUAUGAUCACUUCUCCAGGUCGACUUGAUCUUGUCUUCCCGAAGGUGAGAAAAAGAAAUCCUUCUUCUUUUGGAUUUAGCAGAGCAAGAAGCUAUUUUUGGCUUGAAAUAUGUGUUUGAUUCGUCUGCUGCGACAGGGUGGAUGGGAGAUCGAUGAGACUGCAGGCGAAGCGGCAUGCCGCGAAGCUAUGGAAGAAGCAGGAGUGAAGGGAAUUUUGAAUGUAAGCAAUUCAAACUUUUUGUUUGAUGAGAUGAAGCUUGUCUGAUGAACAUACCUACUGUUCCAUUCAUCUAACAUCUUUUUCAUGAGAAAAUUCGUCGAAACUCCGAAAUCAUGAGUGAUUUACGACUAGAGAAGAACAAGGGUUCUCCUUUAAGUCUACUUUCAGUAGAUGAUUAUGCUUUCAUUCAAAACACCAAUAAAUUUACCAUUCUUGUGGGCCUUGCAAUUCCAUUUCUCAUAUCUGAUACAUGUUACAUCAUGGAAAAUAUUUUACUCCUGAAAUCUUUCUGGACCCUCACAUCAAUUGGAUUCUAGUAAGAUUAAAGUUCUGCUCUAUCCAACUAACACGCAUGUGAUGUGUUUCUUGUCUGCCUAACUCCUGCUGUUCCAAUAAGUUGGUGAUGAGAAUCUUAACCACUUAAACAAGUAAUUUUCCUUUUUUUUUUUUUUCUAGUGGGACAGUAGAAUGGUUUUUAGUCUUAUAUUAAAUAUAAUCACUUCCUGGAUAACAUAAUUACAUUGGAGUUAUAUAGCAUAUGUACUAAAUACUAAGUGGGUCAAGUUUACGACCGUCUGCAAUUUUUUGAUAGCAUUGUUAAGGGAGUUUAUGUAUGCCAAUGUACAUGAAGGUAGCAUUUUUUUAAAGUUGAAUUUCUACAGAAUUAAAUUAGGAGAGAAGAGAGAGAUCAUUUACUAUGUUUUUUCUUUUGUGAACUAGAAAUUCAUGAUUUUCUCCAUUUUAUAACCGAAACAAAUGAAGACCUAACUUUCGAGAUAGCUAUAUGACGAAUUUUCGAGUGAAGGUCUUUUUUGCAUUAAUCUUAUUUAAAUUACAUAAAAUUAUCUUGUUAAACACUUUUUUUCGAUCCCGAGAAGUGUGUCCUUGGUCUUCAUGGUUAUUGCUUCAUGAUCAUUAUGCAAUCUUCAUUGGUGUUUUUCUUUGUUUUGUCUUUCCAGGAUACAGACUUAGGUGUUUGGGAAUUUAGAAGCAAGAGCAGACAGAAUAGUUGUACCAUGGAAGGAACUUGCAAAGGUUACAUGUUUGCCUUGGAGGUCACCGAGGAGUUAGACUGCUAUCCGGAGAAGGAUAACCGUGAUAGGAAAUGGGUUAGUGUAUAAUCUACUCCACAUUAAUAAAGAUGCGGUAUCGACUUCAUCAUUUGAGAAACUAUAUACGUUUUUGUUCUUGCUUUCACCGAAAUAGGUGCCUUUGGGAGAAGCCUAUGAACUUUGUCGAUACGAUUGGAUGCGUGAAGCUCUUGAUUCGUUCAAAAACCUUCUGACAGAAAAACUUGUAUCUACUGUUCCCGACUUAUCGGUGUCGUCAAGCUUCUGCAUCGUAAAGCCUACUGCAGCUGAUCAUGCCAUAGCACUCUGCUGAUGGUUCCUCGUCCAUUCAAGCUAAAUCAGCAGCCGGUAGGAUUUGAAUAACACAUGUAAUUUUGUGAAGUACUUUCUGUGGCAGUCUCAAUCACAGGCAUAUCUUUAAGUUGCUAUUGUUAAGACCUUCCAGGUGAGUCCGGGCAUGUAAGCUAUAGGUCUGCCCCUGACAAAACUUGGAACAACCAAUGGCUGUGAUUGAGAAUCCAAGCCAAUUUUUAGGUAAGUUUGGUCACUCAGUUAUCCAUGUUACUGAUUGCAUUGUGACUCUGUUGUUCCUGAAAUGGAUGUCAAAUUGUCUAGCAAUAUCUUAUAUGUAUGCUGUAAGGUGCAUCAUAUUCAAUGGAGUUUCAUUCUUGGCUUUAGUAGGGCAAGUAAAUUAUGCAGAGCACAAAGAGAAAUAAUGACUUCAUAGGUGCCUUUGGGAGAAGCCUAUCAAAGUUCUUAGCCAAGUUCAGAUCGGAUCUUCUCUCUUCUUGAAACAGGCGAGGGUUUGGCCAUUAUGAAUUAAAACUAAAUCUACACUGCAACCUUAAUACACCUUUCAACAGUUCCAUGAACUCUCCCACAAAUAGAGCAGAUUCUAACAAGAAAUUUCAGAAACAUUACAUCAGGCAAUUUUCAGAAAUACUUGAAAUACUUUGGGGAGCAGUCCACCACGACGAAUAGCAGUGGAUCGCAAUUCUAAGUAAAUUCUUAUACUUGUGUUCCAGCAGCCUAAAAAUACCAUAGAAAUCAUUAAAUAAAACACCAGGUGAUAUUGAUGAAAAUAUAAUCUGGGUCUCUAAGAGCCUCAUUGUAAGGAAACAGAUUAUGGUACUCUACUCAUCUCUUCCAGACACGUCUCUUCCUCGAUAAGCAGGAGCUCCUCCUUGAUAAUUGCUUCCGCCUUGUUGAUAGUUUGGAUUGCCACCUUGGUAAGUAGAGCUGCCUGGCUGAUAACCAGAGAAGCCACCUUGAUAAGGUGGAUUACCUCCGUGAUGACCAGGGCUACCUCCUUGAUAUGCAGAGCCACCUCCAUGGUAACCUGCGUCACUGCCUUGAUAACCAACUCGACCUGGCAUAUUACCCCCAGGACUGCCACCCUGGUAUCCUUGAUAGCCUUGAACACCUCCUUGAUGGCUAGGACCAGCAUUUGGCACAUAACCUGGCAUAUUACCCCCAGGACUGCCACCCUGGUGUCCUUGAUAGCCUUGAACACCACCUUGAUGGCUAGGACCAGCAUUUGGCACAUAACCUGGCAUAUUACCCCCAGGACUGCCACCCUGGUAUCCUUGAUAGCCUUGAACACUUCCUUGAUGGCUAGGACCAGCAUUUGGCACAUAGGUGUUCUGAGGGUUAGGUGUUUGAUUCUGGUAGUUCAUCAUACCACCUGCGGUAGGUGGUGUAGCAUUGUAAUCAUGAUUAGGCAUCGGAGGAGCAUCUCUAGGAGGCAUAGGAUUCUGCGCAUUUGGUGGCAUGGCGUUCUGUGCAUUAUGAUUCUGAGAAUCCUGGUUUGCCAUUGGUGGAGGCCUAUUCUGGAAGUUUUGCAUGUUUUCCCUUCUCCUCUCAAAGUUCCUUGACCGAUCAAAGUUGCGAGGCCUGUCAUUCCGCCUCGAUCUCUCCUGUGCACGUGCAUUAUUUCUGACCCAUUCCUCAUGGUAUUUAGGGUCAUAAGGAACAGCUUUACCAUCUAUGAAUGGUUCUCCUGGUAUUUUCACCGAAAAAAAAGUGUCAAAGUUACUAGCCUUAAAUAGUAAUGCAUUUCCAGGAUUUGCAUGUAAAAGGAUCAGCUAAAGCAAAACAUUCACAAUAAAAAUGUAAGCAAGUCAUCGUUCUCUGCUUUUACUCUAAGAAACAAUGUCCAUCAUUCAGAAAAAGAACUAAUGCAGAACAAGAUGAACAAUUAAGAUCACCAAGAACCUGGCGUCUUGUUGUUAUCUUUGAUUGAAAUUGGCAAACCUGAAAACCUUAGAUUGUAGAGGCAUAAGAGCUUUUCACUUCGUUGUGUGAAAAGAAUUAUGGGCUCAAGACUAUAUCUGGUAAAAAUCCAAAUAUUCUGAAGUAAGCAAAUACAAUUCGUGCUCAUUUCUCUGCUAAUUUUAUCCUUUAAAUUUGAAUCAUAUAAUUUCUUUUACAAAAACCUAUUCAUCCCUACAAAAGCUUACAAAACCCACUGAAUUGGACCAAAUAUGACUAACAGUUAGCUAACUUCAACAGACUGGCAAUGCUUCUAACCAAAUUGUUAAGUUCAAAGCAAACUCAACCAAAUUAAAUAAUGUCAACUCAUCCCAUUCUUCCUCACCAUUCCUGGGCCAAACCCUGAUCAGUUCUCAUCCAAUGAUCUAAUUAGACCAACCCAUAUCAGCCCCCGAGUUUGUCAUUAACGAGGUUAGGGUCCAAUGUGACAUUACAUAAAAAUGUUAACCGUGGCUUUCAUUAACCACAUUACCUUCUUAUUCCUAUCAGUUCUAUUACAUGCCCAUCUACGCUUAAAUGUCAUACUGAACAGAUUGAGGGAAUGCAAUGCAAGAGCACAGAUGUCCAGAAAAGAUACUAGCCAAAAAGGAAAGUUAAAAACCAUGUCCCACACUCCAGAAUAAACAAAUGGAGAAUUGAGAUACAAUAUCCAAUCAUAUCAUAGUCACAAGCUGAGAGACUGCAUGUUAAUCUACUAUGAGAGACCGCAUGUUAAUAUACACUUUAUAACUUUAGGUUCUUCAAAGAAAAGAGAGGGAAGAAGGGAGAGGUGAAAGAAAAGGGAAAAGAGUGAAACAGGUUAUUUUGGCCCUUACCACCAUAAUCUUUGUUCUUUACAUCCAAAUAUGAAUCAGGGAGAACCCAGCGGACCUUUGGCAAAGCUGCAUUAUGAGCAGAAAUAAGUGGAACGAAUACAUAUUUAAAUACACAUAUAUAAGAACAACUAAAUAGAUCGGACAUACGCUUGAUCUUGUACGAGAUCUCUUCAGAAACCUUACACCCAAAAGCGAAGUAGUGCUUUGUUGACACUGAAUAUAUUGACAUCCUUGCUUCCUCUUCACUGUAACACGAUGCCAAUUAUCGGACCAGCAGAAGAGCCAAGAAACCAACAAAUAAAACAGUGAUUCAAAUGCUAUAGAUAUACUUAAUCCAACUAAAAAGUGAUUUAUGCAAUAUUGUCCAGAGAAAAACAUAGACCUUAACUGCACAAUUCAUUAACAAAAGUGACUUAUGCAAGUCAUUAAGGACUCAAUCCGCACAAUUAAGAGAAGCUGAAGUUGAAGCUAAACUUAGAUCCUUCAAACAGUUGACAUAAAUCCAACAUUAUUGCCUUUAACCACUUUUAUCUAUUAUCCCCACAUUAAUCUGAAAGAUAAAAGAGCAAAAACCUCAAACCAACGCCAAGAAUUGAUCUUUACAGUACUAAUAGAAAGAGUAAUAGGAACUAAAGCGGAAAAAAAAGGGGGGGGGAGAAAGCUUACCUUCCGAGAACCUCGGCCAGGGUCUUGAUGUAACUGUCGAUGAUCUCAUCCCGGGUAAGGGAAGGAUCCGGAGGCUCCACGACGACGAGCCAGUGCUCGAAGUCGCAGCCGUCGAGGAGGAUGGUCUCCUUAGGGGGGCGGUUGCUCCAGUUCGGCGACGGAUCAUUAAGGGACGAUGUGGUGGGCCUGGUGGAGAAGCAUCGGGUCCCGAGGCCUGAUGCGCUGUGGCGGAGCGGGUAACUGGCAGCGGCGAGGAGGGGGCGGAGACGGAGCAAAGGGGAAGAGCGGGCGGGGGGGAGCGCGAGAGCUCGAGAGGAGAGUAGAGGGGAAAGGGACAUGGAGUGAAGCCUCAAGAUGAACGUUCGCCCCGACAUCACCGGAAAACCUAGAAAUCUCAGCUGGAGAAUGGAGUGGCCUUAAAGGCGAGGGGGGCUUGGACGAGGGUUUUAUCGCCGAGACGGGGGGAUGACGGUCACGUGUCAUAAGCAUGACGACCGGAUUGAGUCGGAAACAGGCCGGGCUUAGGUUGAAUUGAACCGGAGGGCUAAAUUCACAAGAACCGCAUGGCCCAAUAGACCAUCUGUAGGUUUUGGAUGCGCAGUAGCUUCUGCCGGCCACAUUGUUGUAUCCAAAAACUAUGGUUCCAAUCACUAACUACAAAUUUGACAUUGAUCCGCAGUAGCUUCUUCAUUAAGCAUUUGAAGAAGCUAUCCUUUCCUAGCUGAAGCGGAACCCCCAUGGAGGAGACCCCGCGAGGUGUGCUCGAAUGGGUAGUAAACUUGGAGUUCCACAACGGCGCCGAUGAUAGAGAAAGUUGCAAUGUGAGUCACAGUGACCUUUCUUAUUCCACCGAGCUAGUGGCUAGUGGAAGAGAACGAGUGGGGGAGAAUUAGCUUCAUGCGAGGGAAUUUUGUCCUGGGAAAGUGAUGACUGGGACGAAGCAAGGAGGGUUGAGGAGGGAGCUUAAUUUGCAGGGGGACAAAGCAGAAGAGGAGCGUGGGACGUUCUGGGAAUAUGGUCCUGAUUGCAGCAGUUUCGGUUCGGCAGACAAGUCUGGGGGUGUCAGUGAGGAAGAAGGGGAUGAUUUACCCAGUGGAAUGAGAUGCUCUGUUUCUUUGGUUAGUGUUGUUUGCCGUCACAAAAAUGGACGAAAAGUUCACGGAAUUCCAUGUUCAAUCAACAGCAACAAAAAUUGAACUUGAGACCUCCUCCAUUUAACAGUAGUUUGCAUCACUUGUGUGCCAUGAAGAAACAGAGCAUGUCAUUCCACUGAGUAAAUCAUGCAGUCAUCACUCCCAUGCCAAAACUAGCUUCGUUACUUCUAAUCAUCACUUUGGCUAGUUUGGACUAUGUCAAAACAGAGCACAUCCUCCCAGGCCAAAACAGGUCAUGUCAGCCUAGUCCAUGCCAAAGUGAUGACAGGGAGGAAGUAAUGAACGCACGUCCACCACAUCCAUGGAUCAUUCCUUCCAUCGUCUAUUAAUUUUUAAUCUUAUUUAAUCAUAUAAAAUUAUUUUUUUUAAUUUUAUUUUAAUAUUAUUUUUUAUGAUAGUAUGAAUAGUAUUUUUCGUCAAUAAAAUCAAAGCGAAUAACUAAAAUAAAAUUUGACUUUAACUUUCUUGAUCUGGAAGUAACUUUCAUCAACUAGCACUAUUAUGAAACAUUAUGAGUAAUUAGUUAGAUACAUUGAUUUUAUAUUUAAAAUAUUUACUAAUCCAUUUUGAAUCAACUAUAUCCACAUAUACAUGCAUUUAUGCAGAUAUCAUCUUUCAUUUACAUGAGAUAAAUAUCUAUAUUAACAUCCAGGAAAUAAAUAGAUAAGAGUAAGUCACACCGGGUCUAGACAAUCUUUUUUUUUUUUUGUACAUGAAGAAAUAAAAAAAAUCAUUGCAAUUGUUGCAAAUACUAAGCCCACUAAAAGCAUAAAAAUAGAGGGUAAGGUAUGAUCUGAAUUUGUGCCUCAAUUUAAUAUAACACAGUGUUGCUAUAGUAUUGCUAUAGUAUCGGACCGGUAAUAUAUGGUCCACGUACCGAAAGCCUAUCGGACGGUACAGUCCGGUACUAUAGACCAUGCUCCAAAUAUCUUUGAUUUCAAUAUUAGUGAAACUAUAAUUACCAUUAUGAUUCUAACUAAGAAUCUUUUUCUUGUAUCAUUUAGAAUAGGUUAUUAACUUCUACUAGUAUAUCUAAUACCAUCAAGACUAUCUAUAAUUUAUUUAGCUCACACUUAUGUUCUAACUUCUCGUUAGACAACAUUGAAUCGAACCACCAUUUUCAAAUAGAGUCUUUCUACAUAAUUAAGCAUACGAAUCUAAUCCUAAUCAUUAGGAUUGUUAAUUAAUAACGAGUAAGUAUUGAAAGAAAUGAUUCUUUUUUUAGGAAGCCGAGGUAUCAUUUCAAUAUAUAUUGAUAUAAUCUUUUUAUCGAAAAUAGAGAUAGUUAUUUAUUUUUAUAAAUAAAAAAUAAAGAAUUUAUUCUUGUAUAAUCAAAUAAUUAAGUUUCUAUUUUAACAUGGAACGAAAAAAACAAUUUAUAGGAUGGAUAAUAGAGUCUUUCGCUUAGCUUGAUCUUGAUCUAUGGCUUGAAAUUAGGAGAUAUAGAAAAGUCCACCAAUCUUAAGGAUCCAUAAUUAAUCCAAUCCUAUGGAUCCAAUAACAAAUAAUAGAAGUAUCAGGUUGUUUAGUAUUUGAUCUUUUAUAUAUAUGAUGAGAGUAAUAAUGACGACAAGACUCGGGUUGAGGUCAGCUGCCCCAGAUAACACUUCGGCUGACUUGACACCACUUGGUCAAAUGGAUCUGAACACCCACCGAGGCACAUUAAACAUCCUGCUCAGGCUCGAUCCUUCACGCCACGACAACACUAGUGUUAGACGCUACCAGCCUGCCCCCUGCAAGCGGGCACAUCAGGAAACAGUAAGCUUCCCUAUAAAUACCCUCGCAUUCUGAAGGAGAAAGUGGGGGAAACACACACACAAAAGACAUCUUCACUUCAUCUGACAUGAUCGUCGAAGGGGUCGGGUCGAGCAUCUCGACCCGACCUUUGUGCAGGUGCGAAGCCGAAGGUCCCCCCGAACGUGCAGGCGAUGAGUUCUUGCCCGGAGGAACCGGCAACCCUGUCCCGAUCGGACCACCAUAAUCGGCCACCUCAGCGAACUCGAAGACCGUCCCGAGAAGAUCCCCCGUCAUCCGGACUCAAACCGAACCGUGUCGGCCCCGAGGCCAUGACUAUAUAUAUAUAUAUAUAUAUAUAUAUAUAUGCAAAUACGAGCUUAUACACAAAUAGCGACUAGUUCAUGGUUCCAUUUGCUUGCUUCACGGAUAAUUUCAUUACAUUCACGAGCAACAUCAAGUCCCUCAUUACGAGCUUAUACACACAUUUCUAAAGCCAUCAUAUUAGCUACUGCAUCAGGUGUAUUUCCCCAAGGGUGUCCUAAAGUUCCUUUGUCAAAUUGUAGUACGGAAUUAAUUAUCCACAAAGAUUUCGGUCAAAGCAGUCAUGUGCCAAACGUGAAUACCCCCUAAAGUCACGGGCAAAACACUUGACAUACAGAUCUAUUCUUGAGUGAAGAAAAUAGUGUGACUUCGAUCUUUUUCAAUAUAAUGAUCACGUAAUAAAUCAACGAAACUUAAAGUCAUCUCACCUUAACCACUGAGCGUGAAGAGAAAAUAUUUCAUUUUCAUAAUUAAAGAAACCUUAACCUUAAAUACGAAGUUAGAUAUUUCAUUUUGGUAACUAAAGAAACCUUUACCUUAAAUGUAACUAAUAUAUAAUUAACCACAAACUUUACGUCAAAAUUACACUGAGUAUAUAUAUUUGGUUCAAAAACACUUGCGGAGGUUCCCUAACCCAUAGACUUCCUCGUCCUUCGUGGCUCUCUUGUAGGCUUGAACUAUGGGACCCACAUAGAAACGUACAUUGAGGAAGUACGACAAUAACGUGUUUGACGAAACAGAGUUUAUUAAGCACAAUGGAACAUAACACUACAUGACGUUUCUCCCACGCCUUCAGCACGAUAAAUAGUAGGGUUUGAUGUUGUAGUUACAGACAACUUCAUAGCCAAAUAAAUCCACACCGACGGAUAUCAAUAGCAGUAGCCACACAACCAGUUACAGGGAGAUUCACGUGAUGGAAGGAAAAGCUUGCGUCACUUGUCAGCGAUGGGGAUGCUGUGCAAGACCACAGUCUCCACCGUGAGCCCGGGACCGAACCCGAAGAGGACGCCCCACUCCAGCCCCUCGCCGGUGGUCGCCUUUCCGUCCUCGGCCGACCGUUUCCUCAUCUCGUCCAGGAUGAACAGCACGGUGCCGCUCGCCAUGUUCCCGUACUCUUUCAGCACCUCCCGCGUAGCCUUCAUCUUCUCCUUCUCCAAGCCGAGCAUGGCCUCUACCUGGUCGAGGAUCGCGGGCCCUCCGGGGUGCGCAAUCCAGAAUAUGGAGUUCCAGUCGCUGAUCCCCAGCGGCUUGAAUGCCUCCACCAGGCUCCGCUCGAUGUUCUUGGAGAUAAGGACCGGCACGUCCUUGAGCAGAUGGAAGAUGAGGCCGACCUCCCGCAGGUGGCCGUCGACGGCGCCCUCGGAGUCGGGGAGGAGGGUCUGGCUGGCGGAGACUAGCUGGAAAAUCGGCUGCUCCGUUGCGGGGUCGGGGUCGGCGCCGACGAUGAUGGCGGCGGCGCCGUCGCCGAACAGGGCCUGCCCAACAAGGUUGUCGAGGUGGGACUCCGAGGGCCCGUGGAAGCUGAGAGCGGUGAUCUCGGAGCAAACCACGAGCACCCGGGCGCCGCGGUUAUUCUCGGCCAGGUCCUUGGCCAUGCGGAGCACCGUGCCGCCCGCGAAGCAGCCCUGCUGGUACAUCAUGAACCGGUUGACGGAGGGUCGGAGCCCAAGGAGUUUGGUAAGCUGGAAGUCGGCGCCAGGCAUGUCGACGCCGCUGGUGGUGCAGAAGACGAGAUGGGUGAUCUUGGACUUGGGCUGCCCCCACUCCUUGAUGGCCUUGACCGCCGCCUCCUUGCCUAGCUUCGGCACCUCCACCACCACGAUGUCCUGCCGAGCGUCCAGCGACGGCGCCAUGUACGCGCAGAUGUUAGGGUUCUCCUUCAGGAUCUCCUCGUUGAGGUGCAGAUAACGUUUGCGGAUCAUCGACGUGUUACCUGAACAAGCAUGCAGUACAGGGAUCAAAACUAGGACUUCAUCUUUGGAUCACACACUUGUCCCUCGAACCAGCAUGCAGUGCAAAGACCACGAUUACACAAGAACAACUUCGUCUCUUUUAUUAACUAUGUCAUGCGAAUUCACGUAUCAUGUUCAUGUUUUAUUCUUUUAUUUAUUGAACAGUUGUAAUUAUCGCAGGAACAACUAAACCAGUCAGAGGAGGCCUUUUCUUUUUCGUCUCUCUGGUAACAAAUAUAAAGGCGCAGGUCGAAUUUAUUUGUUAGGGAAGAGGGAACCUAAGAAAUGAAUGGCACUUUAGAUUAAAGAAACGGCACGUACACAUUCUCUUGAACUUUUCCUUGAGUUUAGUGAGGUGCUCGCUCUUGGUGAUGCGAAAGUAGUAGUCCGGGUAGUCGGCCUGGUACAUGACGUUGACAGGGGUGGCGGUGCCGAUGGCAAGCACCGUCGCCGAACCCUCUGCCCUCUGCGAUUGCCUGAUCUCCGCCAACUUGGCCAUGAGCUAGAAGUGGGAGCAGGACCAAGUAUUAGGUCGAUCGAAGAGUUGAUGGUUCGGUCCGGAGAUGAGGAGGCGGGAGAUAUAUAGCGGUGGCUGGUUGGGUUGAACGGACGAGCAGAUGGGAAGCGACGAGGAGCAGAGAAUGAUUGGUGGGAGGCUAGGCACAGUGACCAACAUGCGGGUGACCACCUCCUCUUUCCGUCAGCUGAAAACUUAACCUGUAAACUCCGACUCCAUGCAUUUAUUCAUCUCUCAUCUGCCGCGCGCACACCUCGUGGCCUUCUGGUUGUCGCAGACCAGAAGGCGAUCGAGCGCCCCGUCAACGGGUAGAGGAAGAGCCCCUCUUUCUCUGAUCUCGGAAGAUGCACUUCGCCGUGAAGGGUCGGAUCGAGACUCGAGAAGCAGUGACACCGCGCAAGGGGAAGGCACUUCGCCUCCCUUCCACCGGUGUGCGUCGCGUCCGUCGUUCAUACGUAAAAUCUGCUAAGUGGGCCUUGAAAUAAAUCCUCCGCAUCCACUUAGUCAAAUGACUUGGACGACGCAUACUUGGUUAAUCCGCCUUGGACGCCAAAUCACCCAUGACUGCCCAAGGCCAGAUAAUUCAUGACGUUGGAAGUGUCAGGUGGUUGCCAGGUGCUUUUGAUGAAGAAUGUGGGAGACCCGACAGGAGCCAGAACUUUAGCCACCCACAAAUGAAAGACUUGGUAAGCUACUUAAUUUAACUAUAACAACUGGUCCUCCGUACCUAAUUUUGCUACCUACCUUCUAUUUCAUCACAAUUGGUGUCGCAUUCGUUCAUAAAUAAUAUUAUAAUUUGAUUUACUGUUCUUCCACUCUUUGUGUACUAUGAGAUUUUUUUUUUUUUUUCAAGAGAUUUGGUCGGAACCAUUUUAACUGUUUGUGUACUCGCGAAAAGUAUUGUUUUUUUGUUGAACAUUGCAUAUCAUUGAAUUUUUUGAAAUGAGAAAAAAUGUUAAUUAGAAAUUCCAACAUGAUACAAUCAUCAUAAUUUAAACAUAAAACAUAUAUUUUUAAAAUUACACGUAUUUUUCAUAGAACUUUAGAAGACAUUACAAAAUUAAUAUUAAUUUUGCUUUUAACAUAAGUAAGCUUCACAACGAGCCGAUACAGGCUGGAGUGCGCCGGCCCCGAAGCGCGUCACAGGCCGCUGGUCCGUGCACAGCACGUGUCAACCUGUGCUGUGAUCCCACAUGUUUUCCAUACUCUUGAUGAAGUCCGAUUAACGCGUGCGGUCGCUCGUAGCCCGAUCCUACGGCUGAAAUACGUUUAUGUUCCAUAUAAUUUCCAUUCAAUUUGGGGAUCCGUCUCCCGUUGCCGCUCUUAACCCCGCGACAACGGGUUUCCAUCGCCGCCGAAGGCUUAGACGAGCUGGUACGCUCGCCGAUCUCGAUAUGUCUCUUUCGAACAUGCUGAGUCUGGUUAUUAUUACUGUUUAUUUUCUUUUUCCGAUGGUGUCGUGGAUGAUUAGGUCGUACCGAAUGAUAUUUGUUGGUGAACAGAUGUGAUGUUGCUGGUGAGUCAGCACGGCUUGGUCCAUGGGUCAAUGUCGGGAGUCUUCUGUUGAUUGAGCUGGAUGCCGAGGUCGAUCAGACUCUCACGACGGGGUAUUGAUCAACAUUCUUUGUAUGCCGAUCCGGGCACCGUGUAUGCUGAGUUACGUCUCUCCUUCUUCGGGGUGGCUGGCAGCUCGCCUUUGUGAGGUGGCCGAGUUUUCCUGCAAAAAUGACCCUCGUCGGGAUCACUCGACGAGACCCCUCCGACAAGCAAGUUAGUGGAGUGAUCAAUUGAUUUUUUUUUCCCCCCUCUGCUAGAUGCUGGCUAUAGGUCUUUAUAGUACUACACGUGGGUCGAUCAUACGUGGGUUGGCGUGGUAGACAUGUCAAACAAUGUCUUGGUACGGAUUCUGACUUGGCGUAUCUCAGGAGCGGCUCUGCUCGAGAUUCCCAAGAUAUGACAUGCCGAGUAAUAUCCUAGUACGAAUUCUGACCGUGGUCGAUGGCGUCGGACUCUGAUGUGUCGUGGGCCAAAAUAUAUCGUAUCAAUAUUGAUCUACUCAAUCCCCUGAGAAGAGAGGCACAAACUCAAGCGUCUCGUUCAAUCUCCCAACUCCUUCUUCAAGGUGAUCCCCGAUUCGUUUCAUCAAGUUCUUUAGUUUUCCUCACUUCCGCGUAAUUUUCGGUUCUGAUUGAUGUUUCUUUCUUCUGGUCUAUGUUGUAGGAGGAUGUGAAAUGUCAAGGAUGCUUCAACGUGUAAGUUCUGCUGUUGAUCACUGCAUUUAAUGAUGAUCUCCUGUUGUUCGUAAUUUUUUAUGGUUCUUGAAGCUUUCAUUGAUUGGAUGCCGCACAACUACGGUGUUUAGCCACUCGCAGACUGUGUUGUGGUUUGCGGAAAUUGCCAGACCGUUCUGCGCCAGCCGACUGGCGGGCGUGCAAGGCUCACCGAGGGCCGCUCUUUCCGACGAAAAGGCGAUCGAGCCUCUCUGUGCGCUUUUCUUCCUUUCUCUUGGUAAAUCUUUAAGAAGCUUGGAAUCAAAUUUAUACGUGAGUUUUAAUUCGGUGCUGUUUUAGUUGUCAGUAACGAGAAGACGUAACACAAAUGAUGCUUUUUACUAGGGUUUUAUCGCCGAGACAGGGGGGUGACGGUCACGUGCCAUAAGCAUGACGACCGGAUUGAGUCGGAAACAGGCCGGGCUUAGGUUGAAUUGAACCGGAGGGCUCAAUUCACAUGAUUCGUCUGGCCCAAUAGACCAUCCGCAGGUUACGGAUGCGCACACUUCAUGUGUUGCUCUGCAAAGCCUCUAAAAUAUUUAUAAUAAUUUCUCAAUUUUACAGCAACAUCUUUAUUUGUAUUUUCAUGGAAAUAUCCACAUCUUUUAAUAGAGUAAGUAGUGGCUUUAAACAAAUAAGAGAAAAGAAGUUGAUGGAAUUUUGACUGCUGUUUCUGAUAUGACCGAUAUGCUAUAUGAACCGAUGGACUAGAAUUUGCUCGAUAGUGAUCGAUAGUGAUCACUAUUUUCUGUAACGCAUUUUUCCGAACACAUUGUGAUCAAUAGUGAUCCAGCACGAUGCGUCUGUAAUGGCGACUAGAAUUUGCUCGAAUUCCAUAGAGCAUUGACAGCUAAAAUUUGCAGUUUUAUCAACAAAAACAAAGAUAUGAUCCAUAAGAAGAGAUUGAUUUCUACUGCAUAUAGAACAUAUCCAAAACCUAUUUACAGAGCACAUACUUCGUCUUCUUCUACAUAGCCCUCUUCCUAGUGCAACACCUCACAUAAAUGAUAUCACAAUCUAUCUGAAGUCUCAGUAUCCGUCAAAAUUUUACUUCAUCCAAAUAAAUCUGUAGUUUGGAAGAUUAGAAAGGAACAGAGGAAAGGAAGAGAACAACCAACAAACACAUCGAACACAUUAAUUAUUGAUACAAUAGGAACAUAGUAGUACCUUAUCUCAAGCACAAAGUACAAAAAAAGUUGCAUUAUUGAUACAAUAGAAUGAGACUUUGUAACAUGUUUGAUGCUUCUACCGCAUCACCAUGUCCCAACAAGAACAGAGCUCUUUACAAGUCUCAGGGACCGUCUUUACUGAAAUCCUAUAGCACCAUAACAUCAACAGCAGAGAGAGAGAGAGAGAGAGAGAGAGAGAGAGAGAGAGAGAGGCUUAGCCUCCCUUUUGCCUAUAUGACUUGCCUCUGUAGCUUCAGUUCAUGUCUUCCUCCUCUAUCUCUGGGGAGCUAGAGGAUGACAAGCUCCUUAUGGAUCAGUUUCUUCCUCUUCCUCCGCAUCUUUAGAGAGGACGAAGUCAAAACAGGAACCAGUCGAGCUCAAGUUCCCAUUCCUUCUCUCUCUCUUCUUUGUCAUGAAUUCUACAUCCUCCACACACUCCUUAUACUUCUUCGCAUCAUAAAACGAUGGAUAUCAACUACUUUACAGCACCAAGACGCUCUCGCCGUGGAUUCGCGGAUCUCGUCACCCACUUGAUCUUGGAUAAUGGAUGACGAUGCGACGCUGAAAACAUGGUCAAGUUUUGUUUACUAAGCACGGGGAGCUGCGAUGGAGACCAUCGAAGCAGCACACAUGGCUCCCAUAACCAAAAGCUAAAGAUCAUUCGAGUCACAAAGUGCAGGUUUUGGAGGACAACGCGAGGUGGGAUGCUUUUAGAAAGCAAGGCGAGUGACGAUUAAUUAGAUAUCAGAAACAAGGUGGUGUGGGUGUAUGAUUGGAUAAGGUAGGAAAUUGCUUAUGAGCUUAAACCAAUAAAGACAUGCAAC
rnacentral:lncRNA from 1 species